rnacentral:lncRNA from 1 species
UUUCUCAUCAUCUCUACCGCAAACCUCUCCCUCAUCAAUCAAGGAGAUGGUUCGCACUCGCUCUGGAUUCCUAACAUUGUUACUCACAUUCUCAACAAAAUUAAACCUAUCUUUUCGAGUGGCAAUAUCAUCUAGCUUUUCACUGAUUUCUCUAAUCUUGACAGCAAUAUGAUGACGAAGACUGAGUUGUUUGAAACCACCAAAGCAGUUUGAGGCAGCAGGAAAGAAGGAACAUACCUUCGUCAAAAAAGUAACAAAAGCACUGUCGUUAUCAUCAUCAUCAUCAUCGCCUCGCUCAUCAAGCUGCAAUUUCCGUGUUUCAGUGAUCCACUCUUCCAACACAUCUUCCAUGUCGUAGGAUGCGUCUCUGAGCUGAUCCAGCCAAAAAGUAACAGCUUUGUCCUGCUUCAUUUGCCUCUGCUCUGCAUCUUCCAGCACAGCUUGAAUGGCUUGAAGAUUGGUGGUAAGCUUUCCCACUUCAUGUUCGACACCCGUGACAAGCCUCCACUUUUCUUUCACCUGAUCUUGAGCAAUGGAUUUCAGCUGGUCCAGGAGAGAGGAAACGAUCGCAUGAGCCAUUCUGAUAUUAGAUCAAAUGGUAAAUGCUGCAAUUGCUUUUCGUGCUGCUUAAAUGCUCAGAGGAAAGUAGCUUUUAUGUAUUCUGAGAGAAUGUUCAUUCAAGCAUGUUUGGAUUCUUCUUAUACUAAUUGGAGAUAUUUUAAUUUUUACCCUCAAGUCAAUGUCAAUGUGAACGUUCUUUUGUGCUGCAAAUUGAAGGAGUCCCCACAGGAGUCACCGUCGUGGGCUAGCUUUCUGCGGAGUACACAGCAUCAGCACUUGUAAAAUUUCUUACAUUUGUAUUUAGUUACUUGCCGCUCUUAAGAUAAUUAGCAACAAAAUAUUUGUAAACUGCAACAAAAAGCUCAGUGCAAUCUAUCUAUGAAUCUUGUGAGUUCACAUAUAAUACAGUCGAUUUAGAAUAGUCAUAAAUUUUUUUUAAUUAUAAAUAGUAGUAUAUUUUUAAUGGUAUAAUAUAUAUCGAUGAAACUAUAUAGAGUAAUUUCGCCUAAUUGUAUAAAUUCAUUAUGAAUAUCAUCACAAAUUUGUAUUUGGUCGGGACCGUGCGAGUGAAAUUUUUGAUAAAAAUCAUCUCCUGACAAUUUAUUUAUUAUAUUUUUCAAUUUAGCUUUAACGUAUGGAUCCAUUCCUUUUAUUAUCAGGUAGGCCAAAGCCAUUUGGUCAUUUGAUCCAUUCCUUUUAUUAUCAGGUAGUUCAAAUUUGUAUGGAUCCAUUCCUUUAGUUGGGACUUGGAAUAAGAUUAAAGAAAAAAAAGUUAUCCAUUUAUGAGACUUUAAUUUAUGUCAUUAUUGUUUAUUUAUAUUUAAUAUUAAUCAUGAAAAUUAAUAAUACCAUCAAUUAAUUGAUUUUACAUACUUUUUUAAAUAUUUGAUAAGAAUUUGAUAAAAAAUUAAUUAAGUAUUUAAAUUUUUAUUCAUUUUUUUAUUUGUUUAUUUUAUUAUGAAUACCCAAUAACUUACAAUAUGAUUAAUUUUCUUAUUCAGACUACUCAGCAUCAGCUCCUGUAAAAUUUCUUACAUUAUAAGCAACAAAAUAUUUAUAAACUACAACAAAAAGCUUAGAUCAAUCCACCGAUGAACCUUUUGAAGUUAUAUAUAAUAUAUUAAUUAUUGAUCUAGAAUAGUCUUAGUGGAUAGAUUUUUUUAAUUAUAAAUAUCAAUAAAUUUUUUAUCGUUUAAUAGAUAUUGAUGAAAUAAUAUAGUGUAAUUUUGCCCAAUCAAAUUAAUCCAUUAUGAAUUUCAGCACAAAUUUGCAUGUGGUCUGGACCGUGCAAGUGAAAUUUUUUUAUUAUAUUUUUCAACUUGGCCGACAACAUCUUUUUGUCAGGUAGGCAAAAGCAAAAGCCAUUAUCUCUAUUAUGCCAUGACAAACUCCAAGAUCUAAUUUAGAGAGCGACAACUUUUGUUAUCAGGUAGGCAAAAGCCAUUGUCUCAUUAAUUCAUUUGGUCAUUUGAAAAAGUUGUGGCUCUGUUUUAGUCCAGUGUCAAUAUAUAACUUUAUUAUGUCAUCACAAACUUCAAAAUAUAGUUUAGAGUGUGACUCGAAUAAUUUUAAUUAGUAAUUUAUUAUAUCUACAGUCGGAUACUUUGUUGAGAAAAAAAAAAAAGAAUAAAAUCUGUCCCAUAAUGAUUUUAAUAAAUAUCAUACUAUCGUCCACGUACUUGGGCCAUCUUCAAUAUGACACCAAAUCUAACACCAAAUCACCUUUUGUAUCAUUUUUAGUAUAAAAUACUUCUCUAAUGUAACACUAAAAGCAACACCAAAAUAGUGUUAUGAAUAAUAUUGCAUCAAAUAUGGUGCAACACUAUUCAUUUGGUGCUAGGAAAAAAAAGUCCCAAAUAUCCUUACUACCUUUUCUUAUUUACAUAUAUGUCCUAUUUUAUAUAAUAUUUUAAGUUAUUAUUAUUAUUAUUUUUGUUAUUAUUUUUUUUUCAUUUUUUUAAUUUUUGAAUAUUAUACUAAAAUUUUAAAUAAAAAAUAUUUAACACAAAAAUUAAUAAUAAAAAGAAAAUGCCAAAUUUAAUAAUUUUCUAUAUUUCUUUUGUUAAUCGAUAUAAAAUUAUUUAUUACUUAAUUAUAUGUAUUAAUAGUAAUAUUUAUUGUGUUAAUUGAAUUAAUUCUUGAAAUUAAAAGAAUAAAAAGAAGAAUAUUCUUUUUGGUGUAAAUGGAUUGGAGAUGAAAUAGCAAUUUGGUGUGAAAAAAGUACAUUUUUGGUGUAGUAUCACUAUUGUGGUGAUACUAUAGUGACACAAGAUACUGACGCAAAAAUCACUGACACCAAAAAUUAGUGUCAGUGUGUUCUAGCUUGAGCAUUACUGACACAAUUAACAAGUGUCAGCAAAAGUAAUUACUGACACUAAAGUGGUGUCAGUAAAGCCCAUUUUUCUAGUAGUGAAUUUUUAACUCAAUCGCAGGGCAUAAUAGCCUAGGUUGUUCUGCAUUUGGUUCGACUCAUCGCAAGCUUGGAAACUAUAUUAUAUGUCCAAAACGAAUACUCGUAACCCAAUUUCUAGCCUCGGAAGAUACCCUGCUUAUUCCAUGCAACAAUCUUAUAUCAACUUGCCUUCUCUGCAUCUUCAAGCACAACUUGAAUGGCUUGAAGAUUUAUGGUAAGUCACAAGCAGCAAAGGAGUUCAGCUGCUCCGGGAGAGGGGAAGCGAUCACAUCCAUUCUGGCAAAGAAAAGGAGAAAUAAUUUCAUAAGUUGUUCAACGUGCUUUUGUUGCAAAAAUACUGAAAGAAACGAGUUGUUGCAUUCUUCUUACACUACACGAAAAAUGUUUAUGGUUAUUGUCGCCUAACCCACGCGUCAAUAAUUUUAGCAUUUUUAAUUUUCCUGAUUCUACUCCACAUCUGUGAUACAUAAUUGUAAAUAUUCUCUAAUUAAUUUGUAGUGGUCGGGCCAGUGCCAUUUAAAACGAAAACAAAAAACCAAAAGAAAAAAAAAACAAAAGUUGGAAAAAAGCAUGCAUCACCGAUAAUUCAUUUAUUUAUUUGAGGACGGGGAUAUUUUCUACCUACUUAUUUUACAAAUCUACCUCGCUGUCAGAAAAUAAUUGUAAUACGUUCAUACUAUUUUUAAAAUAUAUAAAUCAAUAAAACGUAUAGACAAUCAAUAAAUUAAAUCAUUCAUAUAAUUUUUUAUUUUUUUAACUUAGGUGUCUUUGACCAUUUAGGUUGCUUUAAGAUAAGUUUUAUUUGACUAAUUUACCAUGAUAAUAUAAAAUGACUAAAAUACCCCAAGAAUCAAGAGUUCUUGUAUAUAAUAGUUUAGGUAUUUUAUUUUAUUUGAUUCAAUCUCCAAACUUAUUGUAAUUACAUCUUCUUUAUUUCAAUUUUUAAAAAAUAAUUUGAACUUAUUGUAAUUAUUUCUUGAGAGUGGGGUGGGUUUACAAAAAUUAUGGGCCUUUUCGUUUAUUAAUUCUUGGAAAUUAAUGGCUCCGUAAUCAAUUUCUUUUGUUCUUUUAUUUAAAUAGAAAAGAAAAAUUAAGAGGAGCUUUUGUCUAUUGAAUUGAGGUUCUGUGAAGAAAAAUACGUAUCAAAUGAUCGACGGAUUGUACUUUUCAAUUUUUUACUUCACAGUACUUUUCUUUAUUUGCUGGGUCAUUUAUGUUUUUUUGGACGGAUUUAAGUGUGCUUAUACAUUUUAUUGAAUUUUAUUUUGAUAAAAUCACCAACGAUCAGAAGAGAUUUACACUACCUAUCUGAGUAUUUGGUUCUCUAAUGUAAGGAAGCAUGUAAUCUUUCGCCAAUAAUUUUUUAUUUCAUCAAAAUGUUAAAAUGUUGAAAGGAGAAUUAGAUUUAUUUUUUAUAUAAAAAAGAGAAUUAGAGUUCAUAUUGUAGAAAAUUCUUUUUCCUACUAUAAGUCCAGUUCGAAUCUUUGAAGCAAAUGAUCUAAUCUCAAGCAUAGAAAGUAGGAAGAUCGAUUGAACAGCGGACACAUUAACAAAAAAUAAUUACUUUAAAAAGUUAAUAUUGGAUAUCACAAAACUUUUAUUAUUAUUAUUGUAAGUUGGUAUGUUGAAAAAUAAACAAGCUUUAUAUGAACUUUAAACACAGAUAAUAAUUUGCACGUAGUAAAAUUGCUUAAUACAUCCAUUAUUUUAUCAUUUUUAACUUUAUCUAUCGGUUAUUUUCAUUUUGAAAAUAUAGGAUAAAUGAAAUAAUAACAAACACAUAUUUCAAUUGAAAAUUUAUCAACUUGAAAACACCAUUUUCAUUCUCAUAAUAUGAAUUUAAAAAUAAAAUACAGAACAUGCCCUAACAUUUUCUGAAUUUAUUUUUAUACCGUAAAAGAAUCAAAUUACUCACACAAUUAUUUUAGCUUUUAUGAUAUAAACAAAUAAUCAUUAUUUAAAUUCAAUAGAAAGAGGUAUUCUUGGUAGAAUUGACGUCUUUAGCAAAAUAUAAUCUAUUUGGGACUUCUUACUCCAUUAGGUUAAUUGGCUCAUCAUUAAUUUUCGAUUAUAAACUUUAUAUUCGAACUUUGUAAGACCAUCAUUUCUCCCUUUUUAUUUUAAAAAAAAAAUUAACUUCUUGCAUGAUCUAGGUGGUCUCCUUUCAAAAGAAACCAAAAAAAAAAAAAAAACUAAAAUAAAAGGAAAUAAAGCAUAUUCUUUAUCUUAAUUACUUUCAUUUGUUAUUGACAUGUACUCAUGCAUUGUGGUCUUUUGUAUACUUUAUCGAUAUGUUUUGCUUAAGGGAUAAAACUCAUUAUGUGGCAAAAUUUUAUUAGAGCUGGGAUUAUUUAUCUGUGUUCUAGUACUUUGAGCAUCUUACUAUACACUCGUCUAUAAAAUUUUAACAUUAAUUUUUACUACUCAUCGAAAUAUCAAAAUAGUCCUUACUAAACAUCUCUCAUUAAUGUUCUGUAACGUAUGUGAAAAAAAAAUAAUAAUAAUAAGAGGAAGCUGGGUAAUGUUUUAUGGGCGAGAGGGAUAGAGGAAGCUGUCAAACCGACCCGGAAAACCCGACCCAAAACUGCGAACCCGACCCAGACAUAUCUCCGAUUUUCGGCCACCUCACCGGCCAUGGAUGGUAGCAACGAAAGCUCCUGAGCCAGCCAUCACUUUCCCACCGUCACUGUCGCCAAAAACCAACCGAAACGCCGCCGUUUGAAGCGCGAAUAGUCGCAGCCAAAACCUAUCACGACCGUCGUUGAUUCCGUCGGAAUUAGGCCAUGCCAGACGGAGAAAUGGUAGGGGGUAAACAGAGUUUGUAACGGAGGUGGGGUAAAUGGAGGAUGAUGUAGAGAGGGCAACCAACGGCCAUGAUGAGGGAGAGGAGGAGGAGGAGGAGGAGGAGGGUGAGGUUAUGGACGGCUGUGAUGGGCUUGAGGAUGUGGGGUCCAAUGAGAGGUGAUGAUGGUGGUGAUGUUGAUGUUGAUGUGUGGUAGAGGAUGAAUGUGAGGGAAAGGUAAGUGAGGAUGGAGAGAUACGUAACUAUUAUUUAUUGAAAAUUAAUUCUUUAAAUACUUUAAAAUGUAAAAUUAUUAAAUAAAAAUUCAUUCUAUUGUUGUUAAUUCACAAAAUUUUAAUUCAAUUAUAACAUUUCUACUUAUUUUUUUAAGUUAAAUUAUAUCUUUUUUAUUUUUUUUUCUAAAUUAAACUAAUUUUUCUAUUCUUCUAUUGUCUAAAGUUUUUCGACAUAGUUUUAUUUCAAAAUAGAUAAAACAAGCACAAAAAAAAGUGAUGAAUAAAAGAAUAUAUUAAAAAGAAAUAAGAACAAAUAACAACACAACUAAUUAAGAGAAUAAUAAAAAGAUAAAAUCAUAAAUUUGAGAUGAAAUCAUAAAUUAACUUAUAUUUAUAUUAAGGCUAUUGUUUGAAAAUUUGAGUAACGACCAAUAGUCAUAGAAAAUAGAGAAAACUAUUAGAUUUUUUCUUUUUCUUCUAUAGUAAAAAGUAGAGGAAGCAAGAUUUUUUCCCCUCUCUCUCUUUCUUUCUCUCAAACACCAAGAUGUCUUCAUUAUUGGAGGAAAAAUUUAAUGGAUAAGUAAUAAAAUGUAGGGCUUUUAUAGAGGUUCAAAAUAAAUAUAAAACUUUUGAAAUAUAACUUAUUAAUUUUAACAAUGAAAUAGAUAAUUUUUAGGAUUGAAACGAUUAAUUUAUUGGUUUUGUAGAAAUUAAAACAAUUAAGUACUACAUUAAAUACACUUUAUAGGAAUUUGAUAGUUUAUUUAGAAAAAAGAUAAUUACAAAAUAAUAAUAAAUUAAAUGAAUAAUAAUGACUUUUAAAUUCAUUUUCCUCUUUUAUAUACAAAAUAAUCAUCUCAUAGGACUUUUAUAUAAAGUGGAGUUCUAUGCAACUGCCUAAGUUGCCUAGAGGUCGAGCCGCUACUGAUUACAAGCCAAUAUUGGAGUGUUGAGGUAACUAGAUAUGAAGCCAUGGCUGGUUUUUGGGGGAGAAAGAUUUGGAAGAGAUUAUGUUGAGAGGAACGGGGGAGUUCAUAAAGUUUUAGGAUAAUGUGGAGGGUAUUUUGGACAUAUUACCGUCUUAGCUUAAAUUUUGGGAAAAAGAUAAUCAAUAAUAAACUAUUUUUUCAUAUCAAUUUAAAACUCCGAGUGUGUCUCCAAAAAUUGUUUUCUUUUUUUUAUUAUUUUGGAUUUUAAAUCUUAAAUUUAGUAAAGGAAGUUAAAUCAAGUGAUCACUUUUUUUUUUCAUGCAAAGCAAUUAAUCUUUUUUGUAAUUUAAGCAAAUAUUGGGUUGCGUACUUUAACAAUAUUAAUAUUUGAUUCGAAAUUUCAUCUACCGAAACUACAAAAAUUAUUAUUUUCUAUUAAAUCAAAAACAAAAUUAAGAAAUAACUUAUUAUCUGCCAACUGUCAUUCAACAAAGCCAUCACUCAUGCAAAAAAGGGAAAAAAAAAGUGAUAUAUUCAUUUUAACGUAAUUUCAUACCAACAUAUCAUCCUUUUCUUUUGAACAAUGACCUCUUCAAUAAUAAAAUAUGGUAAAAGAGGAUGGGUUUCAGGUCUGGCGUCCGGGCCUUGGUGACAAUGGCAUCUUCUGCUCAAUCAAACUUGUGGAUUACGUGCACUCAACGUCGACAAUAUGGAAAUGGGAGAAAAUUAUGUUGAGUAACAUCUUGUAUGGUCAACGCGUCGAGUAUGGACUUGCAUGAUCGAGUCAGUACAACUAAAGUCGGGUAGAGUUUGGUAAAUCUCUAUAUUGGCUUGAGGUUGGACAACUAUACCUUUUAAGCUACAUAUUUAAACAAUUUUAGUAAAUAUUUACUAUUUUGAUUUAAAAAUUAAUUUGAUUUGAUCUCAUAUUUUAUUAUUAAAAAAUUUAUAAUAUCUUUAAUAAUUUUAUUAAAUUAUUAUUUAAAAGUCAUACAUUUACUGCACAUUAUCAACUUUCUGCUAUUUUUUUUGUUCUCACAACAGCUAGUAAUAUCAAACAAGAGCUAAGUUAAGUAUGAUCAAUUAAUUAAAGUUUUGAUUUUUUGUAUAAAAUAAUCCUUAGAUAAUUAGUCUAUAUAGAAUAUUGGCUACUUCAAAUGGAAACUUGUGAUCAAAAGUGUAAUUCCCUCUAUCAGUGAACUAUACUUGCCAGGAAAUUAACCCCAGGCGAGUACCACCACCUCCUACUAUUUCUUAGGUGUCUCAGAGUUUGAUGAGGACUUCCAUGACGUGUCUCUUCGACAGGCAGCGAAAUUGGGCAAUUGACUACAUUAACUCCAACAAAUUUAUGCAGUCACCUUCCUCCGGACUAUCCUCUUUCUUCGCGCUUUAGUUGCCCUUAUUUCCCCUUUAAUACAGUCAACAUUAUCUUGUUUGAUGCCAAGGAGACCAAGCCCAGAAACAAUGGCAUUCUUUGAUAUCAACCACCUGGGGACUUUUGAGCUGAGCCAUGACAUCCUGAGAUGGCCUGUUGUGUAAGCCUUCUUCAAAAGGUCAUCCGUUAAUCUUUCUCCUAAUUAGACAUUCAAAACCCUGCAUGGAAUCGAUUUGAGAAGUUGGACAAUAGACAAACUCCAACACAUAUAGACAGUAAAGAAGAAUUUAGACCGCAAUCACUGUGGCUCAACAAAUGGGCCUAUUAAAGCCUAUUAAAAGUUGGAACCAUAUUCACCACUCGCAUUUCCUUAAGAGAGCUAUACCAGAAUUCUGUAAAUUUAAAACUUUUCUUACAUAAUUAACUGUAAAACAAGAGAAAUUGUACUUCCGUAGCAAAGUCUCACUAUUGGUAAGUAUCUGGACUUGGAAAGGAUGCUAGUUGAUGAAGUAAAGGAAAAUUGAAAUCAGACUUUGAGGUGACAGAUCUAUACACUUCAAUAGGAACCACAUUGACAUCAUAUGAGACAAAUAAACAUUCCCCAGUCAAAGUUUAACAAACAAAACAUUAAAACAAGAGUAGGUUGGUCUAUCAAUGUAUAUAUAGACAUGUCGAUCAAUAGACAAAUACGUAAAAGAGGGAGGGAGAGACCUCAAAGCCGUGCUACUCCAAUAACUUCAAAAUUGUUCGUGACCACUCUAUCAAAUCCACGCAAUAGUUGCAUACACUCACCGAUGGGUUUGUCACAGAUAACCUGUUAGGCAUUAAAAAUUGCCCAAAUUAAACAAAUGUUAGACCAGCUUAGACAGUAAACGGAACAAUAUUCUAAUUUUACUUUAUUUAUAACGAAUAAGUGAACAAAGGAAUAAAAAGGAAUUUUGGCAAAGAAUCCUGCAGCUAAUCCCACCAUACACCGCUCUGCAGGCUUAUUUGGGAGUCAAAAUUCUCAAAAUGUACUAAGAAAUGACAUUUGUUCACUAAUCCCACCAACAAGGAGGAAGUGACGUGAAGAGAAUUUACUAAGAAAUGCCAGUGUAUUAAUAUUGAAGGAAAACAUUCACUGACGACCAAAAUCGCUGAUAUAUGCUUAAUUUCUCACUCACUAAGAACGUUCAAUUCAUUCAAAUGAAACUUCCACAGGAAGGUCUCAUUAUUAAGGCUUUAGCUUCACCUCACAUGCUCAACAAUUCAAAUUUGAGGAUGAUAUUUCUCCAAAUGGAGGGCUCUAUUUGGCUUGCCAACAAUCUUCCUCACAACUAUCAUCCUUGCUAUAUCGGUUGCACUGAGCAAUCUUCAUUCUGACAUUUGCCCUAUUAACCUGAGUACACAAGAAUCCGAAACAACUGUUAGAAAUUUUAAUCUUUAUAUACAGCCAAAAUGGUGAAUAAGAUGAUGUACUGAUAAUAAAUACCUGAGUUAAUAAAUAAUUAAGGGGCCGGUAACAAUCUCAGCAUCUUAUCAAGUGGGGAAAGCCUUCGCAACGAAGAUGCUGCUUGCUUUCAAGCAAUAAUAACUUUCCAAUUCCAUAAGAUAGCUUAAUGCCCUUUUAAGAAUAUCUCCACCAGCCUAACAAUUAUUCAUGGAAAUCCAAUUUGCAUUUGUCGCCUUCAAUUUUCUCAUCUUUGUCUAGAGUAUUGUUUUUGCAUUAACUUAGCUAGCUUGCAAACCACCUGCAGAUGGUUUUAAAUAAUGUGUGAGAGUGUGAAUUCAAACGAAUUAAUUAAAUAUGAUGACAGGAGAAACAAAAUUAAAAUAACCACAAGAAGUAGAAAUAUACUUUUGUUAUAUUCAGAGCAUCUCCUACUGUCUUCAUUUCCCUUAGCUCUGUUUCCUUUUGAGCUCGAACGCAAUGCCUCAAGGCUCAAGAUAAUUUGAUGACCAUCAAUCUUUUUGCAGCCACAUGUAGACUUGAAAAACUGUUGGCGGCCCUAAAGAACUUGAAAAUUAGAAAAGAUUCAGAAUGAGUGACUAAAUAUUAUAAUCAAAACUAAUUAAACAAACGCGCCUUGAAAAUCUGAAACUGAAUUAAUCAAAUGUAUAUGCCCCUUCACUGCAAUUGCACGUGGUGGAAAUUUUACUGCGAAGACUUUCUCAAACCUUGAAGAUCACACUCGGCCUGACAACAAAGAAACAAAGUCAAUAUACGAAGAUGAUUUUACUAACAAGUGAGAGCUUACAAAUAUUUGAAGGAUAACGAUCACUCAUAACCCAUAUCCCCAGUAUUCCCUAAUAUUUCACUCAAGUGGGUUCAAGCUCCCAAAAUUCACUACAGUGAAAUGUCAAAACAAAACUCUCUUCUCAAAUUUGAUGAUGAUAUCUCUCGAAGGGAGGCAAAAGAAUCUAACACUGAUCAAAUUGGCUUGUGAACAAUUAAUCUUCCUCGCCAUCAUUCAUACCAGGUGCGGUGAACAAUCUUCAUUCUGACAUUUGCCUUAAUAAGCUGCUUAGUAACCUUAACCUGAUAACUCACACAAACAAAAACAACUUGCCUAAAGUUUAAUAUUUCGAGCAGAACAGUAAAGAAGAUGAUAUCUAUUGAUGCUAAAAUUUGACCUGUGUUACCCUGAUGUCAAAAGUCAUAGCAUCUCAUGUGGGCAAAAUCUUCGCAACACGAGAUGCUUGCAAAAUUGGAGCAGCAUCUUAUCACCUGUAAUUUAAUUGAGACAAUAACUUUCCCCAACCAUUUCAAUGCAUUAUUGGCAACUAAAUUCAGAGGGUGCUAAUUAAAUACCCUUUUAACAAUAUCUUCUUAUUCUUCUUCAAUCUAACAAUUAUUUGGAAAAUCUAAAUGACAAUCAUGCAUCGAUGGCAUGAAAAUUUGGCUACAAAGUAGCCUGGAAAAGGCUGCUCUCUGAAUGAGAGCAUGAAUUCAAACAAAUAUGAUGAAUGAAUAAAUAAAGGCAUAAUACCACAAGAAGUAAAACUUUUCCCCAGAUUUCUGUUUCUGUUUGUGCUAAAACCAAUGGAAACCGAUGGAAAUGAAUUUCUACGAAUUAGACAUAUCAGCCAAAACAGGUACUCCGUACAAGCAAAGUAAAAGAGGGUUACAAAAAAUUUUAAUAUUGAUAUGAUAAUUAAAAUUAUAAUGAAAAUUUCAGUUACCAUAUAAUUAAUAGAUAACUCUGUACACAAUGAUUUAUUGCAUAUUAAGAUUGUAUACCUGAAUUUUAAUUGCUAUACAAAAUAUGGUAGUAUCAUUAGGAGACCGCACCAAAUGUACCGAAUUGAAUGUGCCUUUUCACAGCCAUUGUACAAGCUUUGAAGCUUUACCACAAAUGCUUUCUCAAACCCGUGAUCAUGAUGCACCCGAGAGAUGCAAGAUAUGAAAUUGUUACUACAGCAGGCAAUAACCACAGUGUUAAAACAAAUGUUUAUACAGGAUAAAUGAUUCCAAGAAUGAAACAAGAUAGCAAUGAUGAUCUCAGCACCUUAACAUCACGCAAUAAUAAUCAUCAUGUCUUUCAAGCAGCUAUCCAUCCUCAAUUGAAACAGAGCAGAUCCGGCCAUCACUUCCUUCUUCAAAGUCCAGCAACCAAACGUUGCACAAUAACCACAGUGAUAAUCCUUGGUUACCCCAAUGUUCUCCAUAGAGUCUCCAAAGUCAAUCUAAAAAUGAAAUGCAGGUGGAAAUCAAAAUUCUAUUAACUAAAUAAAAUAUAAAGUGCAAUGCUUGUGCUUGAGCUUGCUUUAACAUCAUCAUAAUAGCGAAUUUUGAUACACCUUUACUUCUCUGUGGUUCAAUCAUUUACUUCCCUGUUCUUGUUUAUUCACAACAAGAUAUCAAUAGAAGAUGAUGGAAAUGAAAUUCUAUAAAAUAAAGCAAGUGAAUUACCAGUAGACCAUUUUAGCAAUCCUUUGGCUAAACUUUUCAUUUUCUUAGCACACUGUCCUGCAGUACUGCCUGCAUCAUUAAAACCAAAUUAGAUUGGACCUGUGAAUUGCUAGUGUGGUUCUGACAUUUCCUCGAAUCCCUGGUGAACAUAAUUAAACUCGUAUGAAAUAAAACAAAGUGGGCUAAUGUACUACUAAAAACAAUUACACAAUUACUUUAAAGAAUUAAUGUCACAUAAAUUAUAUAUAAAAAAAUACGAUUAUCAUUAUACAAGAUAAAAUUGAUAAUUUAGUUUUCGACAUUACUGCAAAUGUAUGAAGGAGAUUUUGUCACUCAGGAAGUUACACAUAACAAAUUUCCGUACAUUAAAAAAUAAAUUACAUUGGGAUUUUCUAUGAUGUUGUAUGAAAUUUUACAAAAAAGCACAUAUUUUUUAAAAGUAAAUAAAUAUAGAAAUUUCAACAGACUAAACUUGUAUUUUUUUUUUAUUUAAUCUUUAGAAAACAAGUUUAACAUAUUUGAUAACUAGGAAGUUUUACAUAUUUAUACCAUGAUUGAUUCUAUAUAGAAUUAUUAAAUAAUAAAGUAAUGCCAUAAUCUAAUUGGUCUUGUUAUUGACAUGUACUCACGCAUUCUAUAUUUCUAACUUUGUACAUUUUAUUGAUAUGUACAAAUUGUCAAUGUUUGCAGUGUCGUUGUUUGAAGUAACAACAAAGUAAAAUAGAGGUGAGAAAUUACCGGUGGGUGAUAGUAAUUGCAACCAUUCGAGAAUUUACCACUCGGACUCGAUGUAGGGAAUGUGAGAUAUCUUAUGCCAGUCUUCUCCUUCCCCCUCUCUAUAACGGUUUUCCAGAAGAGGACAUCUGUGAAUAAUCAAUUCCUGCAGCGUCGUCGUCCGAAGAAGGUAAUCCGGCAGCACCUUUAAUUUGGGGCAAUACCCAAUUUCCAAGGAAGAAAGACGUGGUAUGUCUGUUGUCUUGCGAUCUUCUAGAAUGGGCAGUUCUUCUAGAAGAUCACAAAAAUAAAUACGCAGUUCCUGCAGUGCCGUCGAUUGAAGAAGGUAAUCCGGCAGCGCCUUCAAUUUGGGGCAACCUCUAAUCCACAAGGAAGAAAGACGGGGCAUGAUGGAGAUGUUUUCCUUCCUCGUAAUCCUGUAAUUCCACUCUUCCAACUCUUCCAUUCCCCCAAUGUCGAGUGAUUUUAAUUUGGGAAAGGCAGUAACUGAUGAUGACGAUGAAGAUGAAGAUGGGUCAUCCUCACUGCUUUCUUCUAUUCCCAAAAACUCAUUACCCACUCUUUUUACACUUUUCAAAAUGUAUAGUUGGAGUUUUUCCAGAGGUAAUUUUCCCAAAGGAGGCAAAUGCUCACAGUUAAAACAAAACCAAAGAUUUAAUUCCCUUAGAUAGGUUAGUGAAGUCAACCAUUUGGGAAAAAUGUCGCCUCCGUAGAAACAAAUCUGUAAUUCCUCUACAUUCAAAUGCGGUUGUAAAGCUUCAAGAAGUUGUUUAUCUUUCUCAUUCUUCCUCCUCCCUUCUUCGCCUUCCCCAUCUACGACUCCAUCAAACACAAGAUGCAAACGAAGGAGGUUUUCCAUAUUGUGAAGUCCUAUUCUCUCAGCCUCAUCUAAAUGUGAUACAUUACUCAGCCCUUCUAUUCCACAUUUACGAAGGAGUUGAAGAUUUUUCAGAGAUUCAAGCCUACACGUGCUGCCGCCAUCAACACCUCCACCCACAACAAACUUUUCUAAUGUUCGAAGACUGGUUAAUUUGGAAAUCCCUAUUGGCAUGUACUUCAAUGAAUAAGUUUGACCAUUCAGUAAACUCCUCAUGUUCAUUAACUUCCCAAUCCCCGCUGGCAAUUCUCUAAGAUUUGGGCACCGCCUAAUAUCUAGCUUUCGUAAAUUAUAUAAUUCACACAAAGUCUCAGGCAGUCUCUCUAUACAUAAUUCAGAUAAAUUAAGAUAUUUUAAAUGUAUCAAUUUUCCAAUAUUUUCUGGAAUUUCUCUAAUGAAAUUUGGGCUAGGAUGAGAAAAUGAGGACAACUGUCUUAUAACUAAUGCCCUUAAACACGCCAAUUUACUAAAUAACCCCGGAAGGAUGCUACUACGAAGAGACGGACCUUUAUCAUAAAUUAAGAGGGUCCGCAAUCUAUUAAGUCCAUAAAUGGACAUAGGAAGUGGAGCGCCUCCUUCAAAAUUUAAUCCUAGGUGACAGACUUUGUCACCAAAAGAAUUUAUGACUGACUCUUUGUUACCAUCAAUUUCUAGCCACAAACAUUCUUUUCUACUUACAAAUUGGGCAAAAUCAUGUACUAUGUCAUGCAUUUUACACCUCAUAAACUCAUUAUCGCCACCGUAUGUUUCAAACUCUUGAAAGAAAGAGUGUGUUGCUAAGAUGUUGAAAUACUCUUCUCCAACCAUCUCCAUUUCUUCGUCUUCUUCUGCAUUAAGGUAACCUUGAGCCAUCCACAUAUCAAUCAAUUCCUUUUUAUGCAUAUAGUGGUCUUUUGGAAAGACAGCACAAUAUGAGAAACAUUGUUUUACCAUAGAAUUAGAGGGCAAAUCGUUAUAACUCAACAACAAAGGAGCCAAAAGACCUUUCCUAAUCUCUUCUACCUUCCACAUUUCACUCUCUAAAAUUCUUUGCCACUCUUUUACUGUACAUUUAGAGCGCAAGAGAUUCCCUAUUACCUUUACAGCAAGAGGCAGGCCUUUGCACUUGCGUGCAAUUUUUCGUCCGAUUGGUUCUAAUUUUUCACAAUCCUCGAAAGAGCGACCGAAAAAUGCCAACCGCUUGAACAACAACCAGCAUUCCUCUUCAGCUAGUUGUUCAAUGGAGAUAAUAUCUAACUCUAUUGUUCGCAUCAUACGUGCAACUGACUCAUUACGUGUGGUAACCACAAUUUUACUUCCAGGAAGACCAUUCUUUAGACAAAAGAAGAAUUGAUCCCAUAUAUUAUAAUUCCCAUCCCAUACAUCAUCUAAGACAAUAAAAAUUUUUUUUCCUUCAAUUGAUCUAUGGAUAUGGCUCAUAAGAGAUUGGAAUUCGCUUAAACCAGAAGCUUCUUUUGACUCGCCUAGUCCUUCAAUAAUUGCUUUGGCGACCCUCAUCUCAUCAAAAGUGUCUGAUACACACACCCAUAUAACUUUUUCAAAAUUUAUUUUCACCCCAUCAUUAUUAUAGGCUAGUUGUGCAAGAGUGGUUUUACCUAUACCCCCUAACCCAACCAGUGAGAUGAUAUGAGGAUGUUGUUCGCCACUCUCACCCAACAACUUACCUAACAGCUCAUUUUUCUCGUCAUCUCUACCAAAAAUCUCUCCCUCAUCAAUCAAGGAGGUGGUUGGCACUCGCUCUGAUUUCUUAACAUUGUUACUCACAUUCUCAACAAAUUUAAACAUAUCUUUUCGAGUGGCAAUACCAUCUAGCUUUUCACUGAUUUCGCUAAUCUUGACAGCAACAUCAUCACGAAGAAUGAGUUGUUUGAAACCACCUAAGUAGUUUGAGGCAGCACGAAAGAAGGAACAUACCUUCUUCUUAGGAGGAGCAAGAGCAAGAGCAUCGUCAUCAUCGCCGCCCUCAUCAAGCUGCAAUUUCCGUGUUUCAGUGAUCCACUCUUCCAACACAUCUUCCAUGUCGUAGGAUGCGUCUCUGAGCUGAUCCAGCCAAAGAGUAACAGCUUUGUCCUGCUUCAUUUGCCUCUGCUCUGCAUCUUACAGUACAGCUUGAAUGACUUGAAGAUUGGUAGUAAGCUUUCCCACUUCUUGUUCGACACCCGUCACAAGCCUCCACUUUUCUUUCACCUGAUCUUGAGCAAUGGAUUUCAGCUGGUCCAGGAGAGAGGAAACGAUCGCAUGAGCCAUUCAGAGGAAAGUAGGUUUUAUGUAUUCUGUGAGAAUGUUCAUUCAAGCAUGUUUGCAUUCUUCUUAUACCAUAUGAGAUAUUUAAUUUUUACCCUCGAGUCAAUGUCAAUAAUUGUACAGCGUCUGCCCUGUUUCUCUGAUUCAUAAUAAUUCAUUGUUAAUUCUGCAGAGUACACAGCGUCAGCACUUGUGAAAUUUCUUACAUUUGUAAAAUCAUGCAGCCGACCCUUGUGAACUAACUAAUUAACUAAAUUUUCUUACAUUGUCAAUAAGUUAUGAUUAUUGUGAAUUUUCCAUCCCCUAUAUAAAUUCUUAGAUUUAUUUAAAUUGUGAGUCAUAGAAGUAUAUUACCUAAAUUAUUUUAUCAGGCCAUGUUCCGAUACUAGGAGUAAGUACGGAAUUGGACUAAUUUUGUGAUUAUCUAUUUAUCUCAUAUUUGAUAAGCUUAAUUGAAUUGGAUUUAGGAACCAAAUUUAAAUUUAAUCCUAAAAUUAUGGAAUUGAUAAUCCUAAUUUACGCAUAACUUUAGUUGGGAUAAAAUUAAAGAAAAAAAGUUAUCCAUUUAUGAGACUUUAAUUUAUAUCAUUAUCGUUUAUUUAUGCUUAAUAUUUAUUUAUUUUUUUUAAUUUAUGAUUUACUUAAAAUUUAUUUUUAUUUAUUAUCUAUCAUCUGAUUAAAUUAGAACUUUACUUCUACUAACUCUUGAUAUUAAUUUUUCAUUACUUGCAUAUUUGAUAAUUUGUCAAUAAAAUUAACCAUUUAAUAAUUUAUUGCAUAAUAGAUUGUAUUAAACUUACUAAUCACUAAAAAAAUAUUUAAAAUCAUCAUGAAAAUUAAUAAUACCGUCAAUUAAUUGAUUUUAUAUACUUUUUUAAAUAUUUGAUAAAAAAUAAUUAAGUAUUUAAAUUUUUAUUUCAUUUUUUUAUUUGUUUAUUUUAUUAUGGAUACCCAAUAACUUGCAAUAUAAUUAAUUUUCUUAUUCAGACUACUCAGCAUCAGCUCCUAUAAAAUUUCUUACAUUAUAAGCAACAAAAUAUUUAUAAACUACAACAAAGGGCUUAAAUCAAUCCACCGAUUAACCUUUUGAAGUUAUAUAUAAUAUAUUAACUGUUGAUCUAGAAUAGUCUUAGUGGAUAGAUUUUUUUUAAUUAUAAAUAUCAAUAAAUUUUUUUUAUCGUUUAAUAGAUAUUGAUGAAAUUAUAUGGAGUAAUUUCGCCCAAUCAUAUAUAUUAUAACAAAAGUUGGAAAAGAGAAAAAUAAAACAAAAGUUGGAAAAAUCAUGCAGUCGUUGGGAAUUUCGAAAUUUGAGAAUUUUGCCCGUAGCUACAGGCUGCAGCGAUUUUUGACUUUCAUGAUGCAAACAAACCAAUCAUCAUUAAUUUCAAUAGAAAGAAGUAUUCUAGGUGGAAUUGAUUUCUGGAGCAGAAUAUGAUGUAUUUGGGACUUCCUACUCUAUUAGAUAGGUUAAUAACAUGUUAAUUGUCACAUCAUUAAUUUUAGAUUAUAAAUUUUAUAUUCAAACUUUGUAUGACUGCUCCUUUUUCAUUUGAAAAAAAAAAAAAAAAUUAACUUCUAGCAUGAUCUAAUUAAUUGAUCUUGUUUCAAAAGAAUCAAAAAAAUAAAUAAAAUAAAAUAAAGUAAUGCCAUAAUCUAAUUGGUCUUGUUAUUGACAUGUACUAAUGCAUUCUAUAUUUCUAACUUUGUACAUUUUAUUGAUAUGUUUCUCUUGAGAGAUAAGAAUCAUUAUGUGGCAAAAUUUUAUUAAAGCUGGGAUUAUUUAUGUUCUAAUACUUUGAACAUUAAUUUUUAAUCUACUCUUUAGAAUACAAAAAUAAUCCUUACCUAAACAUCUUUCAUAAAUGUUUUUUGCUGGGGCUGCUAAAAUUCAUAAUCUAAUAUUAGUUGAUGUGGCAUGUGUCCUAUCACAUAAAUGUAGAUAAUAAUAAUUAAUUCAUUAACAAAAUGAAAAAUGUUAGUUUACAAAAUACAAAUCCGAAUUUUUUGUGUGUUAGAGGGAAUUUAAAAGGGAGAGACUAAACAAAUGUGGUGACAAAUUACACGUAUUACCAAAAUUGAAAAUACAAAGUUUAGGCAACUGGAAACAUCUCUGUCAAUGGCAAUGAACCCAUUACCUCCAUUUAUAAUUAACCAAAAAUCAAAUAAAUUAAAAAAGAAAACACAAAGCAAGGAUAACUACUAGUUGUUUUGAUCAUCCCUGCUUCUUUUUCUUAGCAUAGCUCUUGUAAUGAAAAUUAACAAAAAGGGCCAAAAGGGAAGCAUUAAACACAGUAUUGAAGCACCAACCCCAAAACACAGGGAAACCAAAUCCCGUGAAAUGAUAAUUCAGCAUCAAAAUGAAAAAUGUUAUGGAUGGCUGUGAUGGGUCUGAGGAUGUGGGGUCCAAUGAGAGGUGAUGAUGAUGGUGAUGUUGAUGUUGAUGUGUGGUAGAGGAUGGAUGUGAGGGAGAGGUAAGUAAUGAUGGAGUGAAUGAGGAUGCGUGGGAAGGAAGCUAGGGUUUGGUUUUGAGUCCAUGUGAAGUUGAGGACUUGUGGGUGGCUUACAAGCAAUAUUGGAGUGUUAAGCUGAUUGAAUUUGAACAGUGCUACUCCAAUAACAUCAAUAUGGUUGAUGACCGCUCUAUCAAAUCCUUUGGAUAAAUGAAUUGACCGCUCUAAAAUAAAUGAAUGAGAUAGGAUAAAUUCGAAUAAAUUAAUCUGCAUAAUGACACAAGAAACAAAUAUAAAUUGACCGCAAGUAGAAAUAUACUUUUGUUAUAUUUAGAGCAUCUUCCAAUUUCUUUCCCUUGAGCUCUGUUUCUGCGAGUGCUCAAAAGCAAGACACAGGCCUCAAGAUAUAAUUAUCAUCAUCAAUCUUUUGCAGCCACAUGCAGUACUUGGAAAAUGUUUAUGGCCCUAAAUAACUGGAAAAUCAGAAAACAUUAAGAACAAGAGACUAAUCAUUUUAAUCGCAACAAAACAUGCACACUAUGAAAAUAUAAAAUUGAAUUACUUCGAAUGGAUGUGCCUCUUAACAGGAAUUGCACAAGCUAAUGAGCAAGUGAGCCUUCGAAUGAAAAUCUAAAUCCUUGCAGCCUGCGUCAUGCAGCUUCUCCCAAUGAGUAAGUGAACCUUGAACAGUUAUCACUCAGCUCAAACUAAAAUGAAAUUACUGUGGACAUGUGAAUUAAAAAUAGAUGUAAAAGUAGUUUUCUCAAAGCAAAGUCAAGAUAAGAGAUUAACUCUACUCCUUAUUUACAUUAAAAAUAACGAACAAUGGAAAACAGAGCUAGAGAAGAACUUACCUGUGCGUUGAGAUCAUGUGGGGAAUGUGAGAUAUCUUCUUAGAUUUGGUUUGGGAAACUCCAUCUUCUUCUGAAAGUUCUGACAGUUCCCUAAACCCAGGCCAAUACAAUUGCAACAGAAACUGCAUGCUUUAACCAGUAUCUGAUCAUCUCCUGUUAUUUCAAGACAAUAAUAACUUAAUUGCAACACUGCAUGCUUCAACCAAUAACCUUUUCGACUUCAACACUUCUUUUGUCCCCCACCCGAUGCCCUUUUCACAAUUCUAUGAAUCAGAUAAAUCAGCCUUCUUCACAAAACUAAAAUUUCGGUCCCCAUGUAGCAGAGUUUCUUAUUUUUCCUUUGUACACAAAUGCAGACACUUAAGCAAAUUAAGAUUUCUUACCUAAAGCAAAUUAGGAUUUCUUUUGAUCCUGCAAGUUACAAUUUCAGUCCCCAUGUAAUAGUAAAAAUUUGUACACAUAUUUAUAUAGCAAAUUAAUAUUUCAUACCUCACAAUAUUUAUCAUAACCAUCAAUCUUUAGAAACCACAUGCAGACUUGUUAAACUGUUUAUGGCCCAAAAUAACAGGAAAAUUAGAACAGAUUUUUAAGAAUGAGCGACUAAAUAUUUCAAUGGCAACUAAAAUUACACAUCUUGGAAAUCUGAAACUCAAGUACUCAGAACACUGUAAGUGCAUUGCAUAAUCUUGGGUAAAAAAUACACAGCAAUUAAACAAGCUGGGAACUUUAGUGCAAAUGCUUUUUCAUAAUCUUCAAUUGCAUAAGUCAGUUAGAAUCAAUCUUUCUUAAUCUUUCAAUUCACAUAUGAGAGCCUGAUAACACAAGGAAACACUGUAAGUGAAUUGUCAACUGUGACAAAUUUUGGGUAAAAAUUAUCAACUGUAGUUAUCUGCAUAACAUUUAGUGUCAACCCCAAAUUCCUUCCUGAUCCGUGGAAGCAUUUCAGCCCACAGACGGUUAGCUUUGUCAAUAUACGGCAACUCAGGAUUCUAUAUUUAAACUAUGAUGUUUGAUGACUUGCUGAUACAAAAGACAUUGCCCCAAGCACUUUUUUACAUUAGCUAAAAUCAAGCCAGUCACUUCCAUUUGUUGCAGUUUUAAUGCAGAAAGAAAAAAGGGGGAAAAAAAUCUGCAAGAUGCCACUUGUAAUACCGCAUGUUCGCAGGAGCAGAGUUAAAUAAUUACAAAAUUACAUUCUUUAUUGGCCACAAAGCUGCCUAGAAAAAGGCUUUAAAUUCUUAAUGAGACAACGUAUUCGAACAAAUAUGGUGAAUGAAGAGACAAAGGCAUAACACCUCGGGAAGUAAAGCUCUGUUUCUGUAUGUGCUCAAACCAAUGGAAACCCAUGGAAAUGAAUUUCUACGAAUUAGACAUGUCAGCCAAAACAGGUACUCUGUACAAGCAAAGUAAAAGAGAGUUACAAAAAAUUUUAAGAUAAUUAAACUUUUAGUCACCAUAUAAUUAAUAGAAAACUUUGUACACAAUGAUUUAUAUGAGAUUAAGAUUGUAUACCUAAGUUUUAAUUGCAAACUAAAUAUACACAACAUGAUAUUAGCAUUAGAAGACUGCACCAAAACGCACCGAAUUGAAUGUACCUCUUAACGGCCAUUGUACAUGCAUUGAAAGUUUACCGCAAAAGCUGUUUCAAACGUGAUGCAUCUUAGAGAUGCAAGAUGAGAAAUUGUUAUUACAACUAGCAUUGAAACAUGUGUGAAAACUGUUAAUGGACCUAAAUAACUUGAAAAUCAGAAAAGAUUAGGAAUGAGUGACUAAGCCUGCUAAUCGCAACUAAACGUGCAAACCUUGAAAAUCCAAAAUUGUACUCGAUGAAUGUGCAAUUGCUCAAGCAGGUAAAUUUCCUGCAAAGGCUCUUACAAACCCUCAAAGAUGAUACUCUACAUACCAUGGUAACCUGAGUAACAAAAAGAAACACAGUGAAUAUUAAAGGGCAUUCUGACAAUGCAAAUUUGUGUAAAUUAACAACUGCGGUUACCUGCAUAAUAGUGUCAAUACCGAAUUCCUUCCUCCAUGGAAGCAUGUGAUCAGCCCACAUGUGCUUUGCUCUGUAGCUUUUGAAUACCUGAAAUUGUUAUCACAACCAACGGUGAAAAAUGGGUGAAAAAAGGGUAAUAGUAGCAUAAUUGAAUUUGCUUAUAGAGGAUAAACCGAUCAAAGAAAAAAACAAGACAGAAAUGAUGAUCUUAGUACCUUAAUAUCAUGCAAUAAUAAUCAUCAUGCCUUCUAGGCAGCUAUCCAUCCUCAAUUGAAACAGAGCAGACCUGGCCAUCACUUUCUUCUUCAAAGUCCAGCAACUGAACGUUGCACACAACACCACAGUGGAAGUUCCAUCACCAGCCUAAUCCUUGAUUACCCCAAUGUUCUCCAUAGGGUCUUCAAAGUCAACCUAAAAAUAAAAUGAAAAUGCAAUGCAUUAUUAUUAGGGAUCUAGUGCUUGAGCUUGCUUUGACAUCAUGGUAUUAGCAAAUUCUGAUAUAGCCAAAAUGGUGAAUAAGAUGACGUACUUGAUAAGAAAAACCUGAUUUAACAAAUAAUUAAGGAGCCGGUAACAAUCACAGAAUCUCAUCAUGUGGGGAACGCCUUGGCAACAGAAGAUGGUGCUUUCAUUCAAGCAAUAGCAACUUUCCAAUUUCAUAAGGUAGUUUAAUGGCCCUUUUAAGAACAUCUGCACCAGCCUAAUAAUUAUUCAUGGAAAUUAAUAAUCAGAAUCAUGUUAGAUUGAGAGAUGAAACAUAAUAAGCGAUUUGGCCACCAUAUAUGCAUUUAUCACCUUCAAUUUGCUCAUCUUUGUCUAGAGUAUUGCUUCUGCAUUAACUUAAUUAGCUUGCAAGCCACCUGAACAUGGUUUUAAAUAAAGUGUAAGAGCUCGAAUUCGAACGAAUUAAUCAAAUAUGCUGACAGGAGAAACAAAAGUAAAUAACCACAAGAAGUAGAAAUAUACUUUUGUUAUAUUCAGAGCAUCUUCUUGCGUCAAGUUCUUUUCCUUUAGCUCUGUUUCUGUUUGUGCUCAAACGCAAUGGCUCAAGGGCCAAGAUAAUUUUAUGACCAUCAAUCUUUUUGCAGCCACAGCAGACUUGAAAAAAUGAUUGUGGCCCUAAGGAACUUGAAAAUUAGAAAAGAUUCAGAAUGAGUGACUAAAUAUUAUAAUUGAAACUAACUAAACAUUAUAAUCGAAACUAAUUAAACGCCUAGAAAAUCUGAAACUGAGCAAUUGCUUCUGGUGGAAACUUUACUGCAAGGACUUUCUCAAACCCUUGAAGAUCACACUCUACCUGAUAACAAAGAAACAGUCAAUAUACGAAGAUGAUUUUACUAACAAGUGAGUGCUUACACAUAUUGGAAGGAUAAUGAUGAUUCAUAACCCAAAUCCCCAAUACUCCCUAUUAUCUCACUCAAGUUCGAGCUCCCAGAAUUCACUACUGUGAAGCUCUCACAACAAAAUUCCCUUCAAAGAUUCUCUACUCAAAUUUGAUGAUGAUGUCCCUCCAAAGGAGGCAAAAAAUCUAACACUGAUCAAAUUGGUUUGUGAACAAUUAAUCUUCCUGGCCAUCAUGCAUACCAGGUGUGGUGAGCAAUCUUCAUUAUGACAUUUGCCUUAAUAAGCAGCUUAGUUUCCUUAACCUGAUAACUUACACAAACAAAAACAACUUGAUUAAAGUUUAAUAUUUAGAGGCAGAACAGUAAAGAAGAUGAUAUAUAUUGAUACUAAAAUUUGACCUGUGUUAUCCUGACGUCAAGAAUCACAGCAUCUCAUGUGGGCAGAAUCUUCGCAGUACAAUAUGCUUGCAAAAUUGAAGCAGCAUCUUAUCACCUGUAAUUUAAUUAAGACAAUAACUUUCCCCAACCAUUUCAAUGCAUUAUUGCCAACUAAAUUCAGAGGGUGCUAAUUAAAUAGCCUUUGAACAAUAUAUUCUUAUUCUUCUCCAAUCUAACAAUUAUUUCGAAAAUCUAAAUGACAAUCACGCAUCGAUGGCAUCAAAAUUUGGCUACAAAGCAGCCUGGAAAAGGCUUUACUCUCUGAAUGAGAGCAUGAAUUCGAAACAAAUAUGAUGAAUGAAGAAAAUAAGGCAUAAUACCACCAAAAGUAAAACUUUCUCCCAGGGCUCUAUGUUUCUGUUUGUGCUAAAACCAAUAGAAACCGAUGGAAAUGAAUUUCUAGGAAUUAGACAUAUCAGCGAAAACAGGUAUUCUGUACAAGCAAAGUAAAAUAGGGUUACCAAAAUUUUUAAGAUUGAUAUGAUACUUGAAAAAUAGGUUUGCACAGAAUUAAUUAUUCUGUCAUUGAGAUUGUUCUUUUAUAGAGAUUUCCAGCGCACAUAAAACUAUUAAAUCAGUAAACUAAAUCACUGAUUUAAGGAAAGAAUAAUUUCUAGGUAGAUUUUCCUAAAAUACAUAGAUUUGCACCUAAAUAGCUAUGUUACAGCUAAUGACUAAUUUACAGCACAUAUUUUUUCUAAUUUUCUAACACUCCCCCUCGAGCUGGUUUGAAGAUAUCCUCCAUAGCCAGCUUGCCAACUAGAAAAUUGAACUGUUUUGUGUGUAGUCCUUUGGUAAAGACAUCAGCCACUUGUUCUCCAGUAGGAAUGUGCUCCAUAUGAACCAAUCCAUUAUCUAUCUUCUCCUUGAUGAAAUGCUUGUCAAUCUCCACAUGUUUUGUGCGGUCAUGAAGGACUGGAUUGUGUGCUAUUGAGAUUGCUGCCUUGUUGUCACAGUACAACUACAUAGGAGAUGAUUUUGUCGCUUUUAACUCUUCCAACAGCCUCCUAAUCCACAUGAUCUCACAAAUGCCAUGGGUUACAGCUCUAAAUUCAGCCUCAGCACUGCUCCUAGCUACCACAUUCUGUUUCUUGCUUCUCCAAGUAACCAAAUUACCACCUACAAAUGAACAGUAUCCAGAAGUGGAUCUUCGGUCUACUUUGCAGGUAAAUUUACUGCAAAGGCUCUUACAAGCCCUCAAAGAUGAUAUUCUACAUACCAUGGUAACCUGACUAACAAAAAGAAACACAGUGAAUAUUAAAGGGCAUUCUGACAAUGCAAAUUUGUGCAAAUUAACAACUGCGGUUACCUGCAUAAUAGUGUCAAUACCGAGUUCCUUCCUCCAUGGAAGCAUAUGAUCAGCCCACAUGUGCUUUGCUCUGUAGCUUUUGAGUACCUGAAAUUGUUAUUACAACCAGCGGUGAAAAUUGGGUGAAAAAAUGGUAAUAUUAGCAUAAUUGAAUUUGCUUAUAGAGGAUAAACCGAUCAAAGAAAACGACAAGAUAGAAAUGAUUAUCUUAGUACCUUAAUAUCAUGCAAUAAAAAUCAUCAUGCCUUCCAGGCAGCUAUCCAUCCUCAAUUGAAACAGAGCAGACCUGGCCAUCACUUUCUUCUUCAAAGUCCAGCAACUGAACGUUGCACACAACACCACAGUGGAAGUAGUUCCAUCACCAGCCUAAUCCUUGAUUACCCCAAUGUUCUCCAUAGGGUCUUCAAAGUCAACCUAAAAAUAAAAUGAAAAUGCAAUGCAUUAUUAUUAGGGAUCUAGUGCUUGAGCUUGCUUUGACAUCAUGGUAUUAGCAAAUUCUGAUAUAGCCAAAAUGGUGAAUAAGAUGAUGUACUUGAUAAGAAAAACCUGAUUUAACAAAUAAUUAAGAAGCCGGUAACAAUCACAUAAUCUCAUCAUGUGGGGAAUGCCUUGGCAACAGAAGAUGGUGCUUUCAUUCAAGCAAUAGCAACUUUCCAAUUUCAUAAGGUAGUUUAAUGGCCCUUUUAAGAACAUCUGUACCAGCCUAACAAUUAUUCAUGGAAAUUAAAAUUCAGAAUCAUAUUAGAUUGAGAGAUGAAAUAUAAUAAGCGAUUUGGCCACCAUAUAUGCAUUUAUCACCUUCAAUUUGCUCAUCUUUGUCUGGAGUAUUGCUUCUGCAUUAACUUAAUUAGCUUGCAAGCCACCUACAAAUGGUUUUAAAUAAUGUGUGAGAGUGUGAAUUCGAACGAAUUAAUCAAAUAUGCUGACAGGAGAAACAAAAGUAAAUAACCACAAGAAGUAGAAAUAUACUUUUGUUAUAUUCAGAGCAUCUUCUUGCGUCAAGUUCUUUUCCUUUAGCUCUGUUUCUGUUUGUGCUCAAACGGAAUGGCUCAAGGGUCAAGAUAAUUUUAUGACCAUCAAUCUUUUUGCAGCCACAUGCAGACUUGAAAAACUGGUCGUGGCACUAAGGAACUUGAAAAUUAGAAAAGAUUCAGAAUGAGUGACUAAAUAUUAUAAUCGAAACUAAUUAAACAUACACGCCUAGAAAAUCUGAAACUGAACUUCUCAAAUGUAUAUGCCUCUUCGCAGCAAUUGCUUGUGGUGGAAACUUUACCGCAAGGACUUUCUCAAACCCUUGAAGAUCACACUCUACCUGAUAACAAAGAAACAUAGUCAAUAUACGAAGAUGAUUUUACUAACAAGUGAGUGCUUACACAUAUUGGAAGGAUAAUGAUUACUCAUAACCCAAAUCCCCAACACUCCCUAAUAUCUCACUCAAGUGAGUACGAGCUCCCAGAAUUCACUACUGUGAAACUCUUACAACAAAAUUCCCUUUAAAGAUUCUCUACUCAAAUUUGAUGAUGAUGUCCCUCGAAAGGAGGCAAAAAAUCUAACACUGAUCAAAUUGGCUUGUGAACAAUUAAUCUUCCUGGCGAUCAUGCAUACCAGGUGUGGUGAGCAAUCUUCAUUCUGACAUUUGCCUUAAUAAGCGGCUUAGUAUCCUUAACCUGAUAACUUACACAAACAAAAACAACUUGAUUAAAGUAUAAUAUUUAGAGGCAGAACAGUAAAGAAGAUGAUAUAUAUUGGUACUAAAAUUUGACCUGUGUUAUCCUGACGUCAAGAAUCACAGCAUCUCAUGUGGGCAGAAUAUUCGCAGUACAAGAUGCUUGCAAAAUUGAAGCAGCAUCUUAUCACCUGUAAUUUAAUUAAGACAAUAACUUUCCCCAACCAUUUCAAUGCAUUAUUGGCAACUAAAUUCAGAGGGUGCUAAUUAAAUAGCCUUUGAACAAUAUAUUCUAAUUCUUCUCCAAUCUAACAAUUAUUUGGAAAAUCUGAAUGACAAUCAUGCAUCGACGACAUCAAAAUUUGGCUACAAAGCAGCCUGGAAAAGGCUUUACUCUCUGAAUGAGAGCAUGAAUUCGAAACAAAUAUCAUGAAUGAAGAAACAAAGGCAUAAUACCACAAAAAGUAAAACUUUUCCCAGGGCUAUCUGUUUCUGUUUGAACUAAAACCAAUGGAAACCGAUGGAAAUGAAUUUCUAGGAAUUAGACAUAUCAGCCAAAACAGGUACUCUGUACAAGCAAAGUAAAAUAGGGUUACAAAAAAUUUUAAGAUUGAUAUGAUAAUUAAAAUUUCAGUCACCAUAUAAUUAAUAGAAAACUUUGGACACAAUGAUUUAUUGCAUAUUAAGAUUGCUAUAUAAAAUAUAAUAUUAGCAUUAGGAGACCGCACCGAAGCAUACCGAAUUGAAUGUGCCUUUUCACAGCCAUUUUACAAGCUUUGAAGCUUCACCACAAAUGCUUUUUCCAACCCGUGAACAUGGUGCACCCGAGAGAUGCAAGCUAUGAAAUUGUUACUACAGCAAGCGUUGGAACAUUUGUUAAAAAAGGAAGUUUAUGAAAAUACGCCUUUGGAUACCAGUCUUCAGGAAUCAAUUCAUCCGUAAUAACAAUUUUCAAGAAUUAUCAACUGCUUUAAGCUCAUCGACAUCACAAAGAUCUCAACUAAAAUAGAGCAGAUCCGGCCAUCACUAUCCCUUCUACUGCUCUUUUCCUUUAGAGAAUGAUUGAAUUACAGAAUGCGUGUAAGGCAUUCUUAUUCAAGGUCCAAUGAUCAAACCUUGCACUAUAACAACAGAGGUAGUAGUUUCUUCGCCAGCCUAAUCCUUGGUCUCAGGAAUGUCCUCAACAGAGUACUCGAAAUCAACCUAAAAAUUAAGAAUGAGUUGGAAAACUGUUUAUGGCCCUAAAGAACUUGAAAAUAAGAAAAGAUUAAGAAUGAGUGACUAAACAUUUAAUCGCAACUAAACAUACAAACCUUGAAAAUCUAACUUUGAAGUACUCUUGAAUGAAUGAGCAGUUGCACGAGCUGGUGACAACUAAGGUUACUGUGAAGUCUCUUACAAAUCCUUAAAGAUGAUACUUUACAUACCACGAUAACCUGAUAACACAUAGGAACACAAUAAACAUUAAAGUGUAUUCUGACAAUGCAAAUUUGUGGAAAUCAUCAGCUGUGGUUACCUGGACAAUAUUGCCAACACCAAACUCCUUCCUCAAUUGAAACAUAUGAUCAGCCCACAAAUGCUUUGCUUUGUAGCUUUUGAGAGCCUGAAAUUGUUAUCACAACCAACAAUGAAAAUUGGGUGAAAAAAUUGAUAAUAUUAGCUUAAUUCCAUAUGUUUAUAUAGGAUAAACCGAUCAAAGAAUGAAAAAAGAUAGAAACAGAGCAGACCCAGCCAUCACUUUCUUCUUCAAAGUCGCACCAUAACCACAGUGGUAGUCGUUCCACUGCCAGCCUAAUCCUUGGUCACCCCAAUGUUCUCCAUGAAGUAUUCAAAGUCAACCUAAAAAUAAAUAAAAAUGCAAUGCAGGUGGAAAUGAAAAUUCUAUAAAUUAAAUAAAAUAAAAAUGCAAUGCUUGAGCUUGAGCUUGCUUUAGCAUCAUCGUAAUAGUAAAUUUUGAUAUAUCUUUACUUCUCUGUUCUUGUUUAUUCACAACAAGAUAUCAAUAGAAGAAGAUGGAAAUGAAAUUCUAUAAAAUAAAGCAAGUGAAUUACCAACAGAACAUUUUAGCAAUCCUUUGGCUAAACUUUUCAUUUUCUUAGCAUACUCUCCUGCCUGGUGAACAUAAUUAAACAAGUAUGAAAUAAAACAAAGUGGGCUAAUGUAGUAAAAACAAUAACACAAUUACUUUAAAGAAUUAAUGUCACGUAUAUUAUAUAUAAAAAAAUACGAUUAUCAUUAUAUAAGAUAAAAUUGAUAAUUUAGUUUUCAACAUUACUGCAAACGUAUCACAGAGAUUUUGUUACACAUAACAAAUUUUCGUACAUAUGAAAAUAAAUUACAUUGCAUGAAAUUUUACAAAAGAGCACAUAUUUUUUAAAAGUAAAUAAAUAUAGAAAUUUCAACAGACUACACUUGUAUUUUUUUUUAAUUAUUUAAUCUUUAGAAAACAAGUUUAACAGAUUUGAUAACUAGGAAGUUUUACGUAUUUAUACCAUGAUUGAUUCUAUAUAGAAUUUUAAUUCAAAAUAUAAUUAUUUUUAUUAAUUUCAUUGCAAGCAACAACGAAGUAAAUUAGAGGAGGAGGAGAAAUUACCGGCGAGUGAUAAAUUACCGCGACCACUUGAUGUGGGGAAUGCGAGAUAUCUUAUGCCAGUCUUCUCCUUUCCCCUCUCUAUAACGGUUUUCCAGAAGAGGACAUCUGUCAAUAGUCAAUUCCUGCAGCGUCGUCGUCCGAAGAAGGUAAUCCGGCAGCACCUUUAAUUUGGGGCAAUACUCAAUUACCAAGGAAGAAAGACGUGGUAUGUCUGUUGUCCUGUGAUCUUCUAGAAUGGGCAGUUCUUCCAUAUUUGCACAAAAAGAAAUCCUCAGUUUCUGCAGUGCCGUCGUUCGAAGAAGGUAAUCCGGCAGCGCCUUCAAUUUGUUGCAAGAACGAACUUCCAAGGAAGAAAGACGGGGCAUGAUAGAGAUGUUUUCCUUCCUCGUAAUCCUGUAAUUCCACUCUUCCAAUUCUUCCAUGUCCCAAAUUAUGAGUGAUUUCAAUUUGGGGAAGGCAGUAACUGAUGAUGAUGAUGAAGAUGAAGACGGGCCAUCCUCACUGCUUUCUUCUAUUCCCAAAAACUCAUUACCCACUCUUUUUACACUUUUCAAGUACCAUAGUUCGAGUUUUUCCAGAGGCAAUUUUCCCAAAGGAGGCAAAUGCUCACACUUAAGGCACGAGCGAAGAUAUAAAUUCCUUAGAUUGGUCAGUGAAGUCAACCAUUUGGGAAAAAUGUUGCGUCCAUAUAAUAUAAUCCCUAAUUUCUCUACACUCAAAGGCGGUUGUAAGGCUUUAAGAAGUUGUUCAUCUUUCUCUUUCUUCCUCCUCCUUUCUUCAUCUUCCCCAUCUACGACUCUACCAAACUCAAGACGCAAACGAAGGAGGUUUUGCUGAUUGUAAAGUUGUAAUCUCUCGACCUCAUCUAAACGGGACACAUUACCCAGCCCUUCAAUUCCACAUUCUCGAAGGAGUUGAAGAUUUUUCAGAGAUUCAAGCCUACAAGUAUUGCUACCAUCAACACCUCCACCCACCACAAACUUGUCUAAUGUUCGAAGACUGGUUAAUUUGGAAAUCCCUACUGGCAUGUAUUUCAACGAAUAAGUUUCAGCAUUCAGUAAACUCCUCAUGUUCUUUAACUUCCCAAUCCCCGCUGGCAAUUCUUUAAGAUUUCGGCACCGCCUAAUAUCUAGCUUUUGUAAAUUAUAUAAUUCACACAAAGUCUUAGGUAGUCUCUCUAUGCCUAAUUCAGACAAAUUAAGAUAUCUUAAAUGUAUCAAUUUUCCGACAUUUUUUGGAAUUUCUCUAAUCAAACUUGAGUGAAGACGAACAGGCGAGGAUGAUAGCCUUAUAACUAAUGAUUCCCUUAUAACUAAUGCCCUCAAACAUGCCAAUUUACUAAAUAACUUUCGAGUUUCUCUAAUCUUAUAUGUGUUUGGACAAAAACAUAGGCGCAACAGCCUUAUAACUAAUGCCCUUAAACAUUCUUUGCUACUACUAAAAGACGAAAGGAUGCUACUAAGAGACAGAUUGAAAUCACUUCUAUCAUAAAUUAAAAGGGUACGCAAUCUAUCAAGUCCACGAAUGGAUAUAGGAAAUGAAGUGCCUCUUUGAAAAUUUAACCCUAAGUGACGGACUUUGUCACCAAAAGAGUUUAUGACUGAGUCUUUGGUACCAUUAAUUUCUACCCACAAACAUUCUUUUCUACUUACAAAUUGGGCAAAAUCAUGUAUUAUGUCAUGCAUCUUGCAGCUCAUAAUAUCAUCAUCAUCAUCUUUUUUAAACUCUUGAAAGAAAGAGCGUGCUGCUAAAAUGUUGAAAUACUCUUCCCCAAUCAUCUCCAUCUCUUCGUCUUCUUCUGUAUUAAGAUAACCUUGAGCCAUCCAUAGUGAAAUUAGUUCCUCUUUAUUCAUAUUGUAGUUUUUUGGAAAGACAGCACAAUAUGAGAAACAUUGUUUUACCAUAGAAUUGGAGGGCAAAUCGUUAUAACUCAACAACAAAGGAGCUAAAAGACCUUGCCCAAUUGCUUCUACUUUCCACAUUUCACUCUCUAAAAUUCUUUGCCACUCUUUUACUGUACUUUUAGAGCGCAAGAGAUUCCCUAUUACCUUUGCAGCAAGAGGCAGGCCUUUGCACUUAUGUGCAAUUUUGCGCCCGAUUGGUUCUAAUUUUUCACGAUCCUCAAAGGACCUACGUAGAAAUGCCAUCUGCUUAAACAGUAACCAACAUUCCCCUUCUCCCAACUCCUUGACAGGGAUAAUAUCUAUUGAUCCCAACUGUAGUGCAACUGACCUAUCACGUGUGGUAAUUAGAAUUUUACUUUCAUGGUGGCCAUUCUUUAGACAAGAAAAGAAUGGGUCCCAUUUUUUGUAAUCUACAUCCCACACAUCAUCUAAAACAAGAAAAAACUUUUUUCCUUCAAUUGAUGUAUGGAUAUGGCUCAUAAGAGAUUGGAAUUCGCUUAAAUCAUAAGCUUCUUUUGACUUGCCUAGACCUUCAAUGAUUGCUUUGGCAACCCUAAUCCUCUCAAAAGUGUCUGAUACACACACCCAUAUAACUUUUUCAAAAUUUCUUUUCACCUCAUCAUUAUUAUAGGCCAGUUGUGCAAGAGUGGUUUUACCUAUACCCCCUAACCCAACUAGUGAGAUGAUAUGAAGGCCUUCUUGUUGUUCACUACUUUGACACAACAACUUGCUUAAGAGCUCAUCUUUCUCAUUAACUCUACCGCAAACCUCUCCCUCAUCAAUCAAGGAGGUGGUUCGCACUCGCUCUGGUUUCUUGACAUUGUUACUCACAUUCUCAACAAAUUUAAACAUAUCUUUUCGAGUGGCAAUACCAUCUAGCUUUUCAUUGAUUUCCCUAAUCUUGACAGCAAUGUCAUGACGAAGACUGAGUUGUUUGAAACUGCCACAGCAGUUUGAUACAGCACAAAAGAAGGAACGUACCUUCUUCUUAUGAACGCCCUCAAUCUGCAAUUUGAGCCUUGCAGUGGUCCACUCCUCCAACACAUCUUCCAUGUCGUAAGAUGCGUCUUUGAGCUGAUCCAGCCAAAAAGUAACAUCUUUCUCGUGCUGCAUUUGCCUUUUCUCUGCAUCUUCCAGCACAAGUUGAAUGGCUUGUAGAUUGCUGGUGAGCUUUUUCACUUCUUCGUCGACACCAGUAACAAGCCUCACCUGUUGUUUCAGUUCAUCAGUUGCAACUGAGCUCAGCUGCUCCAGGAGAGAGGAAACGAUCGCAUCAACCAUUCUGACAAAGAAGAUGAGAAUUCUGAAGAGUUAUUAGAUGUGCUUUUGUUGCGAAGAUAUGAAAGAAAGGAGUUAUUGCAUUCUUUUAUACUGCAUAGAAAAGGUUUAUGCUUAUCCCCACCCCACACGUCAAUGAUUGUAGAAUGUUUAAUUUCCCUGAUUCUACUCCACUAGUUGUGAUGCGUAAUUAUAAAUAUUCUCAAGUUAUGUAUGAAAAUCCCACAAAUUUGGAUCUAGUAAUGAUUUUUAUGUAUUUUUUCAUAAUCUUCUAAAAUACUAUAUCUGCAUGUUAUUUCGUGCAGAAAUAUGGCAUUGGGUGAAAAAAGUUAUGCUUAUCCCCACCCACACGUUAGUAAUUGUAGUAGCAUCUGUAAUUUCCAUGAUUCUACUCCACGGACGAACACAUUUUUUGUACUAACAUCUUUAAAUUCCCACACGUUAGGAAUUUGGCACAUAAUCUCAAACUCGUCGCAUCUUUAACGUAUGAGGUUGAUGAAUAAAUUCUUUUCUCAUAUCAAUUUAAAACUCCGAGAUUAUGUGCCAAAUUCCUAACGUGUGGGAAUUUUACCUCCUAAGUAAUCCGGCCCACUGCCAAGUGCCAACUUUUUCUCUGUCGAGUUAAUGAUGUUGUUUUGUUUUCCUUGUUUUAAUUAAUGUUGCGGAGAGAAACAGAUCGAUGCAAAUGGCUAGCCAGGUUUUGCAGAAACCGUGAAUGGUCUUGCAUGCAUGUGACAUAAAGCUUUAUAUAUAGCUUAUUCCUCCAUCAACAUUUCAAUGGUUCCAUCUCACGUGCACUUGGCUAUGAAUAAGGUCCAUGCAUGGAUCGAUCGAUUUAGGAGUUUGGACCAUCUCAUGCUGCAGAGUUAUGUGUCAUGUAUGUGUGUUGACACUUGCCAGUUCAUUUUUGUUAUAAAGAUUAUUGAUACUCGUAAAUGUACUACUUACAAAUCAUAAAUUUUGAGUUUGACACUUUAGUUUCAUUUUGUAAUCCCUACGCUCUUUAAAUAUUUGUAAUAAUAUAUUUCAAACUUUAACUCAGACGUAAUGAAUGAAGGGGGAUCCUCUUCUUAUAUAAAUUUUUAUUUUUUAACGUUCAAGUUACAUUUGAUUACGUGUACUUAUUAUCUAGUUUUGACUAUCUAAUGACAUUUGAUUACGUGUACUUAUUAUAUGAUUUUUUUUUAAAUGAUGGGUCUGGUGAGAUUUUUUACAUCUUGGAUUAGUAGGUCAAGAACGGGCAGGGCAGGGCCUUCUCUGAAGUCAAUCUUGUGAGCAACACCAGCUUUUUGGAUAAUUGGCAGCCCCAAUUCAUAAUUUUCUCAGUUGAUGUCCAUGGCCAAAAUCUGCAACCGAAGCUUAUUCUACUCUUAUUAAUCGAGAGAUAAUUUUAUCUCUAACUAAUUUAAUUGGGAGGAAAAUUGAGAGAGAUAUCCACUCUGUCCUUAUUAAUUGAGAGAUAAUUUUACCCUUACCCAAUUUAAUUGGAAAGGAAAUCGAAUUCCAACAAUAACUAGGACUUGAAUCCAUGCACUUAAGCUAACUUUAAGUUUUAGGAUGCAUGGUUAUAAUGUUCUUUAUUUAAAUCCUAACAAAUGGUGGGACUUGAACUUGUGCCUACAAACAUUGAGUGCUUAGGGGCUGCAAAAUUUCAUAACUUAAUUUUAGUUGAUGUGGUAUGUGCCCUAUCACAUAAAUAUGUAGAUAAUAAUAAUUAAUACAUUAACAAAAUGAAAAAUAUUAGUUUACAAAAUACAAAUCCAAAUUUUUUGUGUGACAAGGGACUUAAAAGGGAGAGACUAAACAAAUGUGGUGAAAACGACAUGUAUUACUAAAACUAAAAAUACGAAGUCUAGGCAAUUGAAAACAUCGGGUUUUUUAUUUAAAUAUCCCCAAUUUGUCCUUAAAUACCAAAUUUAUACCCUAUUAUAUACAUAUACCUCACGAAGAUAGGGAAAAUAAAAAAUAACCUUAAAAAAAUCAAGAAUCCACACAUUUCUUCCUCUCAGUGCAGGAAGAUGUCGAGUACGAAGUCGGGUAAGUCGAGAAUUUAGUCGAGCAAGAAUUGGAGAUAAGUAAGUUGAGUAUAUGGUCCAGUAGGAAGUUGAGUAAGCAUAUUAAAUGAGUCCAGUAUUAAGUGGUAGAGUAUUAAGUAAAAGUCAAGUAAAUUUUUUAAACAAGUCAAAUAAAAUUUAUGUAAUUUUUAAAGAGGUUGAGUAUUAAGUCGGGUUAGUACAUUGGGUCGAGUGUUAAUAUUUUUAAAGAAGUGAAGUCUGGUAAGUUGAGCAUUCAGUCGAGUAAGAAGUUAAGGCAAUUGAAUAAGUCGAGUCUCUAGUCGAGUACGAAGUCGGGUAUAAAGUCUGGUAAGUUGAGCAUUCAGUCGAGUAAGAAGUGAAGGCAAUUGAAUAAGUCGAGUGUCUAGUCGAGUACGAAGUUGGGUAUGAAAUCUGGUAAGUUGAGCAUUCAGUCGAGUGAGAAGUGAAGGCAAUUGAAUAAGUCAAGUAUCUAGUCGAGUACGAAGUCGGGUAUGAAGUAUGGUAAGUUGAGCAUUCAGUUGAGUAAGAAGUGAAGGCAAUUGAAUAAGUCGAGUACGAAGUCGGGUAUGAAAUAUGGUAAGUUGAGCAUUCAGUCGAGUGAGAAGUUAAGGCAAUUGAAUAAGUCGAGUAUCUAGUUGAGUACGAAGUCGGGUAUGAAGUUUGGUAAGUUAAGCAUUUAAUCGAGUAAGAAGUGAAGGUAAUUGAAUAAGUCGAGUAUCUAGUUGAUUACGAAGUCGGAUCUGAAGUCUAGUAAGUUGAACAUUCAGUUGAGUAAGAAGUGAAAACAAUUGAAUAAGUCGAAUAUCUAGUCGAGUAAAAAGUCGAGUAAGUAGAUUGAAUGAGUAGGGUAUUAAUUUUUUGUUGGCAUUUUAUUGAGGCUAUUUUUGUACUUUCUUUGGUUUUUUAAGUAUGUAUAUGCAAAGUACAGAUUUUAAUAGAUGGAUGUAUAUUUUGGGUAUUACGAGAGAAACGGGGUAUAUCCCACGCAAUUCCUUCGAAAACAUCUCUGUCAAUUGCAAUGAACAGAUCACAACCCUUCAUAAUUAAACAAAAUCAAACUUGAAAAAAAAAAUCACACACACACACACAAAACAAUCACAAAAACUAUUUGUUCUGAUCAUCCCUGCUUUUUUUUAGCGUAGCUCUUGGAAUGAAAAUUAACAAAAAGUGUCAAAAGAGAAGCAUUAAACACAGCAUUGAAGCACCAGCCCAAAAUCCCAGAGCAACCAAAUCCCGUAAAAUGAUAAUACAGCAUCAAAACCGAAACAACAAAACUAAACACAAACUGAACAAUCUAACAAUCAGUGACCAAUCUCUUCCACUUUGGCCGCAACCCCAUCACACACAAUAGAUAGUACCCGUACAUGAUCACAUGCACACUUGCAUUAGUCACAAGUGCAAUAGGAAACAAAGACUGCUUCGUCUGUAACCAAAGGUAGCACAUUACGACGACGGUUGCAUGGUGGUAGACGUGGAGGAACGUGAGCCAUUGGAUGGAUUUUGACAAAAUGAUCAAAAGGGUGUCUAAGAAUUCGAGUAUUUUGGAGAGGUAGAAGAGGUAAGCGUAGAAGAAGAGGGGGCCAGACGGAGAAAUGGUGGGGGGGAAACAGAGGGUGUAAUGGAGGUGGGGCAAAUGGACGAUGAUGGAGAGAGUGCAGCCAACGGCCAUGAUGAGGGAGAGGAGGAGGAGGGUGAGGUUAUGGACGGCUGUGAUGGGCUUGAGGAUGUGGGGUCCAAUGAGAGGUGAUGAUGAUGGUGAUGUUGAUGUUGAUAUGUGGUAGAGGAUGAAUGUGAGGGAGAGGUAAGUGAGGAUGGAGAGAAUGAGGAAGUGUGGGGAAGAAGCUAGUGUUUGGUUCUGAGUCCAUGUGAAGCUGAGGAUUUGGGGGUGGUUUACAAGACAAUAUUGGAGUGUUGAGGUGAUUGAAUUUGAAGCCAUGGCUAGUUUUUGGGGGAAGAAAGAUUUUGGAAGAGAUGAUGUUGAGAUGAACGGGGGAGUUUAUAAAGUUUUGGGAUAAUGUGGAGGGUAUUUUGGACAUAUUGUUGUCUCAGCUUAAAUUUUGGGAAAAAGAUGAUCAAUAAGAAGCUCUUUUUUUCAUAUCAAUUUAAAACUCCGACGGUGUUUCCAAAAAUUGUUUUUCUUUUUCCGUUUUUUAAUUUUAAAUCAUAAAUUUAGUAAAAGAAGUUGAAUCAAGUGAUCACUUUUUUUUUAAUGUAAAACAAUUAAUUUCUUUUGUGAUUUAAGCAAAUAUUGAGUUGCAUACUUUAAAUAUAUUAAUAUUUGAUUCGAAAUUUCAUCUACCGAAACUACAAAAAUUAAUAUUUUCUAUUAAAUCAAAACCAAAAUUAAAGAUGACUCCUUGUCUGCCAACUGUCAUUAAACAAAGCCAUCACUCACGUGAAAAAAAAAAGUGAUAUAUUCAUUUUAACGUAAUUUCAUACCAACAUAUCAUUCUUUUUUUUCCAAUAAUGACCUCUUUAAUUAUAAAAUAUGGUAAAAGGGGAUGGGUUCGAGGUAUGGCGUCCGGGCCUUUGUGACAACGGUAUCUUUGGACGUGGGUGUCGUUAGAUUUUUGGCUAUUUUCUGGUCAAUCAAACUGGUGGAUCACAUGCAUUUUAAUGACCUCUUUAAUUAUAAAAUAUGGUAAAAGGGGAUGGGUUUAAGGAAUGGCGUCCAGGCCUUUGUGACAAAGUUGGAUGUGGGUGUCAUUAGACUUUUGGCUAUUCUGCUCAAUCAAACUCGUGGAUUACAUGCACUCAACGCGGACAUUAUGGAAAUGGGAGAAAAUUAUGUUAGUAAUAGCAUCUUCAAAAGUUUCUAUACAUUUUACUCUUUAAAUAUUUAUUUACUUAUUUAUAUGAUAAAUAGAAAGGUAAAAAAAUAUAUUAUUCUCCAAAAAACUCUUCAAAUAAAAAUAAGUUAAUAUUAUUUUAAUCAAAUAAUUAUUUUUUAAAGGAAAAGUUAACAGCAAUUAAAGCACUUCUCUUUCUCUCUCUAAUAAAAAGUAAUAAAAUAUUAAUUGAAGUGUUUUUUAGAACCUUAAAUGUUGAUGUGACUCUUCAAAUAAGUAAUAAAAUCUUAAUUGAAGAGCCUUUUGGUGAUGGUUUAAAACCCACUGUUUCGUUCUAAACUAAGUGAAUUUAUCUCGUGAGCUAAGUAGUUUAGGAGAUAACUCAAAUAAUUAACUUUUUAUUAGUUUAAUAAUAAGAAUUUUCGAUUAUAUUUUAAAAGUAUAAUUCAUUACAAAAAAUUACUUAAUAAAAAUAACUGUUAUUUAACAUAUUACAUUUUUUCAAUAAUAAAAUAAUUCAAAUUUUUAAUUAUUAUAACAAAAAAAUUUGUAAUAUAAUCCAUUCAUAUACCACAUCACGUAAAAUGUAACCUAGUACUACAUGUAAUCUUGUUACUACUAUUCCUAUAAUAUUCUACCACAUCAUAUACUAUCAAAUUCCAUCCGGCAUGCCAAAUGUGCAAAGUUUGAGUAAGACUUGUUAAAGUUGAGUAACAUCUUAUAUGGCCAAGCGCAUUGAGUAUGGAUUUGCAUGAUCGAGUGAGUACAACUAAAGUCGGGUAGAGUCUGGAAAAUCCCUAUAAUGUUGAGGUUGGAGAACUAUACUUUUUAAGGUACAUAAUUAAACAAUUUUGGUAAAUAUUUACUAUUAUAACUUAAAAAUUAAUUUGAUUUGAUCUCAUAUAUUAUUAUAAUAAAAAAACUUAUAAUAUCUUUAUUAAUUUUAUUAAAAAUUAUUAUUUAGAAGUCAUAUAUUUAUUACACAUUGUCAAAUUUCAGCUUUUUGUUUUUAACAACAGCUAGUAAUAUCAAACAAGACCUAAGUUGAGUAUGAUCAAUUAAUUAAAAUUAUGAUUUUUUUUUGUAUAAAAUAAUCAUUAGAUAAUUAGUCUGUAAAGAAUAUCGGCUACUUCAAAUGGAAACUUGCGAUAAAAAAUGCAUCACAAAAGUAACAAUGACACACUAUAUAAGAAAUCUGAAAUAGAAUUUGCAAAAUUGAACUGAGUUACGGAGAGUAAAUAAGACUCCAAAGGAACAUGGCAAUUAUUAUUAUCUAGGAAACAAUUCAUAGCUAAAACAAAAUUAACUAUACUUGCCAGGAAAUAUGGCGAAUUCCACCACCUCCUACAAGUUCUUAGGUGUCUUAGAGUUUGAUGACGACUUCCAUGCUGUGUCUCUUCGACAGGCAGCAAAAUUGGGCAAUUGACUACAUUAACUCCAAGAAAUUUAUGCAGUCACCUUCCUCCGGACUAUCCUCUUUCUUUGAGCUUUGGUUGCCCCUAUUUCCCCUUCAAUAGAGUCAUCACUGUUUUGUUUGAAGCCAAGGAGCCCAAGAUCAGAAAAAUGGCAUUCUUUGGUAUCAAUCCCUCGAUCCCCAAGUCACGUCACUAACUUUCUGUUGAUCGCGUAGCUAGUUCAUGUAUGCCACAGCAGCGGAAGGUAGCCUGAAGAAGAAAAAACCUCUCUCUCUUUCUUGCUCAGUAACCACCUGGGCACUUUUGUGCUGAGCCAUGACAUCCUGAGAUGGCCUGUUGUGUAAGCCUUCUUCAAAAGGUCAUCUGUCGAUCUUUCUCCUAAUUAGACAUCCAAAACCCAGCAUGGAAUCCAUUUGAGAAGGUGGACAAUAGACAAACUCCAACGCAUACAGACAGUAAAGAAGAAUUUAGACCGCAAUCACUGUGGCUGAAUAAAUGGGCCUAUUAAGCCUAUUAAAAGUUGGAACCAUAUUCACCACUCGCAGUUCCUUAGAGAACUUUAUCAGAAUUCUGAAAAUUUAAAACUAUUCUUACAUAUUUAACUGUAAAACAAGAGAAAUUGUACUUCCGUAGCAAAGUCUCACUAUUGGUAAGUAUCUGGACUUGGAAAGGAUGCUAGUUGAUUAAGUAAAGGAAAAUUGAAAUCAGACUUUGAGGUGAUAGAUCUAUAUACACUUUAAUCGGAACCACAUUAACAUCAUAUGAGCCAAACAAACAAAUUCCCCAGUCAAAGUUCAACAAACAAAACAUUAAAACAAGAGUAAUUUGGUGUAUCAAUGUAUAUAUAGAGAUGUCGAUCAUUGACAAAUACGUAAAAGAGGGAGGGAGAGACCUCAAAGCCGUGCUUAACAACAUUGCUACUCCAAUAACUUCAAAAUGGUUGGCGACGUCUCUAUCAAAGCCACACAAUAGCUGAUAUCUCAUGUUUGCAUGUAGUCCAAUGAAAGCACCAUAACCAAGAACAUUAGUACUCACAGAUGGGUUUGUCACAGAUAACCUGUCAGGCAAUAAAAAUUGCCCAAAUUAAACAAAUGUUAGACCGGCUUAGACAGUAAACGGAACAAUAUUCUAAUUUUACUUUAUUUAUAACGAAUAAGUGAACAAAGGAAUGAAAAGGAAGUUUGGCAACAGUCUUUUUACCAGCCAGAUAGUUUGACAAAGAAUCUUGCACUGCUCCUGCAGCUAAUCCCACCAUACACAACUCUGCAGUCUUGUUUGGGAGUCAAAAUUCUCAAAAUGGGUAACUCUGUUCAAAUAUACUGUUUGGGAACUUUUGUAAUGUAUUUUGCAAGUCAAACAGGAAGGUAUUUCCAUAAGAAGGUUCACUUCACAUGCUCAACAAUUCAAAUUUGCGGAUGAUAUUUCUCAAAAUGGAGGGCUCUAUUUGGCUUGCCAACAAUCUUCCUCACCAUUAUCAUCCUUGCUAUACCGGUUAAACUGAACAGUCUUCAUUCUGACAUUUGCCCUAUUAACCUGAGUACACAAGAAUCCGAAACAACUGUUAGAAAUUAUAAUCUUUAUAUAUAGCCAAAAUGUUGAAUAAGAUGAUGUACUUGAUAAUAAAUACCUGAGUUAAUAAAUAAUUAAGGGGCCGGUAACAAUGUCAGCAUCUUAUCAAGUGGGGAAAGCCUACGCAACGAAGAUGCUGCCUGCUUUCAAGAAAUAAUAACUUUCCAAUUCCAUAAGGUAGGUUAAUGCCCUUUUAAAAAUAUCUCCACCAGCCUAACAAUUAUUCAUUGAAAUGUGUGAGUGUGAAUUCGAACGAAUUAAUCAAAUAUGAUGACACGAGAAAGAAAAUUAAAAUAACCACAAGAAGUAGAAAUAUACUUUUGUUAUAUUUAGUGCAUCUUCUGUGUGUGCUCAAACGCAAUGCCUCAAGGCGCAAGAUAAUUUUAUGACCAUCAAUCUUUUGCAGCCAUAUGCAGACUUGAAACAUUGGCGGUGGUUCUAAGGAACUUGAAAAUUAGAAAAGUUUCAAAAUGAGUGACUAAAUAUGAUAAUCGAAAUUAAUUAAAUAUACACGCCUUGUAAAUAUGAAACUAAAUUACUCAAAUGUAUGUGCCUCUUCGCAGCAAUUGCUCGUGGUGGAAACUUUACUGCAAAGACUUCCUCAAACCCUUGAAGAUCACACUCUUCCUGGCAACAAAGAAACAGAGUCGAUAUACGAAGAUGAUUUUACUAACAAGUGAGAGCUUGCAAAUAUUGGAAGGAUAACGAUUGCUCAUAACCCAAAUCCCCAAUACCCUCUAAUAUCUCACUCGAGUGAGUUCAAGCCCCCAAAAUUCACUACAGUGAAACUCUCGAAACAAAAUUCUCUUCAAAUAUUCUCAACUCAAAUUUGAUAAUGAUAUCUCUUGAAGGAAGGCAAAAAAUCUAACACUGAUCAAAUUGGCUUGUGAACAAUUAAUGUUCCUGGCCAUCAUUCAUACUAGGUGUGGCGAACAAUUAAGCUGCUUAGUAUCCUGAACCUGAUAACUUACACAAACAAAAACAACUUGCCUAAAGUUUAAUAUUUAGAGGCAGAACGGUAAAGAAGAAGAUAUAUAUUGAUACUAAAAUUUGACUUGCGUUACCCUGAUGUCAAGAAUAGCGGGAUCUCAUGUGGGCAAAAUCUUCGCAAUACGAGAUGCUUGCAAAAUUGAAGCAGCAUCUUAUCACCUGUAAUUUAAUUAAGAUAAUAACUUUCCCCGACUAUUUCAAUGCAUUAUUGGCAACUAAAUUCAGAGGGCGCUAAUUAAAUACCCUUUUAACAAUAUCUUCUUAUUCUUCUCUAAUCUAGCAGUUAUUUGGAAAAUCUAAAUGACAGUCAUGCAUCAAUGGCGUCAAAAUUUGGCUACAAAGCAGCCUACAAAAGGCUUCACCCUCUGAAUGAGAGCAUGAAUUCGAAUAAUAUGAUGAAUGAAGAAACAAAGGCAUAAUACCACAAGAAGUCAAACUUUUCCCCAGAGCUCUGUUUCUGUUUGUGCUAAAGCAAAUGGAAACCAGUGGAAAUGAAUUUCUAUGAACUAGACAUAUCAGCCAAAACAGGUACUCUGUGCAAGCAAAGUAAAAAAGAGUUACAAACAAAUUUAAGAUUGAUAUGAUAAUUAAAAUUUCAGUCACCAUAUAAUUAAUAGAAAACUUUGUACACAAUGAUUUAUUGCAUAUUAAGAUUGUAUACCUAAAUUUUAAUUGCUAUGCAAAAUAUGAUAUUAGCAUUAGGAGACCGCACCAAAACGUACCGUAUUGAAUGUGCCUUUUCACAACCAUUGUACAAGCUUUGAAGCUUUGGCACAAAUGCUUUUUCAAACCCAUGAACAUGAUGCACCCGAGAGAUGCAAGAUAUGAAAUUGUUACAACAGCAGGCAUUGAAACAUUUGUUAAGAAAGGAAGUUUAUGAAAAUACGCCUUAACAUUCAUUAGAUACAUGUCUUCAGGAAUCAAUUCAUCUGUAAUAACAAUUUUCAAAGAGCAUUAACUGCUUUAAGCCCCUCAACAUCACAGAGAUCUUCAAUUAAAAUAGCGCAGAUCCGGCCAUCACUAUUACUUCUACUGCUCUUUCGCUUUAGAGAACGCUUGAAUUACAGAAUGCAUGUAAGGCUUUCUUGUUUAAGGUCCAGCAAACCUUGCACAAUAACAACAGAGGCAGUGGUUCCAUUGCCAGCCUAAUCCUUGGUCUCACCAAUGUUCUGCACGAGUAGGAAAUCAACCUUAAAAUUAAGAAUGAGUUGCAAAAACUGUUUAUGGCCCUAAAGAACUUGAAAAUCGGAAAUGAUUAAGAAUGAGUGAGUAAACAUUUUAAUCGAAUAAACAUACAAAACUUGAAAACCUAACAUUGAAGUACUCUGAAUGAAUGUGCAAUUGCACGAGCUGGUGACAACUGACUUUACUGCAAAGGCUCUUUCAAACCCUUGGAGAUGAUAAAAAUAAAAAUGCAAUGCUUGAGCUUGAGCUUGAGCUUGUUUUAACAUCAUCAUAGUAGGGAAUUUUGAUAUAUCUUUACUUCUCUGUGGUUCAAUCAUUUACUUCUCUGUUCUUGUUUAUUCACAACAAGAUAUCAAUAGAAGAAGAUGGAAAUGAAAUUCUAUAAAAUAAAGCAAGUGAAUUACCAGCAGAACAUUUUAGCAAUCCUUUGGCUAAACUUUUCAUUUUCUUAGCAUACUCUCCUGCCUGCAUCAUUAAAACCAAAUUAGAUUGGACCUGUGAAUUGCUAGUGUGGUUCUGACAUUUCCUCGAAUCCCUGGUGAACAUAAUUAAACGCGUAUGAAAUAAAACAAAGUGGGCUAAUGUACUACUAAAAACAAUUACACAAUUACUUUAAAGAAUUAAUGUCACAUAAAUUAUAUAUAAAAAAAUAAGAUUAUCAUUAUACAAGAUAAAAUUGAUAAUUUAUUUUUCAACAUUACUGCAAAUGUAUUACAGAGAUUUUGUCUCUCAGGAAGUUACACAUAACAAAUUUUCGUACAUUAAAAAAUAAAUUACAUUGGGAUUUUCUAUGAUGUUGUAUGCAAUUUUACAAAAGAGCACAUAUUUUUUAAAAGUAAAUAAAUAUAGAAAUUUAAACAGACUACACUUGUAUUUUUUUAUUAUUUAAUCUUUAGAAAACAAGUUUAACAGAAUUGAUAACUAGGAAGUUUUACAUAUUAUUUCAUUGCAAGCAACAACGAAGUAAAUCAGAGGAGGAGGAGAAAUUACCGGCGAGUGAUAUCUUACGGCUACCACGUGAUGUGGGGAAUGUGAGAUAUCUUCUCCUUUCCCCUCUCUAUGACGGUUUUCCAAAAGGGGACAUCCCCAAAUUGUCAAUUUCUGCAGCGUCGUCGUUCGAAGGAGGUAAUCCGGCAGCACCUUUAAUUUGGGGCAAUCCCCAAUUAGCAGGGAAGAAAGACGUGGUAUGUCUGUUGUCCUGCGAUCUUCUAGAAUGGGCAGUUCUUCCAAAUUUUUACAAGAAUAAAUACUCAGUUCCUGCAGCGUCGUCGUCCGAAGAAGGUAAUCCGGCAGCACCUUUAAUUUGGGGCAAUGCUCAAUUUCCAAGGAAGAAAGACGUGGCAUGAUGGAGAUGUUUUCCUUCCUCGUAAUCCUGUAAUUCCACUCUUCCAAUUCAUCCAAGAACCAAAUUUUGAGAGAUUUCAAUUUGGGGAAGGCAAUAACUGAUGAUGACGAUGAAGAUGAAGAUGAGUCGUCCUCACCGCUUUCUUUUAUUCCCAAAAACUCAUUACCCACUCUUUUUACACUUUUCAAAUUGCAUAGGAUGAGUUUUUCCGGAGGCAAUUUUCCCAAAGGAGGCAAAUGCUCACAGUUAAAACACAAGGAAAGAUAUAAAUUCCUUAGAUUGGUUAGUAAAGUCAACCAUUUGGGAAAAAUGACGCCUCCAUAGGAUUCAAUCCCUAAUUCCUCUACAUUCAAAGGCGGUUGUAAGGCUUCAAGAAGUUGUUUAUCUUUCUCGUUCUUCCUCCUCCCUUCUUCGCCUUCCCCAUCUACGACUCCACCAAACACAAGACGCAAACGAAGGAGGUUUUUCUUAUUGUAAAGUUGUAACCUCUCAACCUCAUCUACAUGCGAUACAUUACUCAGCCCUUCUAUACUACAUUUACCACGGAGUUGAAGAUUUUUCAGAGAUUCAAGCCUACAUGUGCUGCCGCCAUCAACACCUCCACCCACAACAAACUUUUCUAAUGUUCGAAGGCUGGUCAAUCUGGAAAUCCCUAUUGGAAACUCCUCAUGUUCUUUAACUUCCCAAUCCCGGCUGGCAAUUCUCUAAGAUAUUUGCACCGCCUAAUAUCUAGCUUUUGUAAAUUAUAUAAUUCACACAAAGUCUCAGGUAGUCUCGCUAUAUAUAAUUUAGACAACUUAAGAUAUUAAGAUAUUUUAAAUGUAUCAAUUUUCCAACAUUAUUUGGAAUUUCUGUAAUCCAAUUUGUGCCUUCAUACAAAAGCUUGAUCGAUUGCCUUAUAACUAAUGCCCUUAAACAUGCCAAUUUAUUAAAUAACUCCCGAAGGAUGCUAUUAUUAAGAGACGGAUUGAAAAAACCUUCAUCAUAAAUUAAUAGGGUACGCAAUCUAUUAAGUCCAUAAAUGGUCAUAGGAAAUGAAGCUCCUCCUCCAAAAUUUAACCGUAAGUGACGGACUUUGUCACCAAAAAAUUUUAUGACUGAUUCCUUGGUACCAUUAAUUUCUAGCCACAAACAUUCUUUGCUACUUACAAAUUGGGCAAAAUCAUGUACUAUGUCAUGCAUCUUACAACUCGUGAAAUCAUCAUCGUCCUCAUAUAUUUUAAACUCUUGAAAGAAAGAGUGUGUUGCUAAGAUGUUGAAAUACUCUUCUCCAAUCAUCUCCAUUUCUUCGUCUUCUUCUGCAUUAAGGUAACCUUGAGCCAUCCACAGAUCAAUCAACUCCUCUUUAUCCAUCACGUAGUCUUUUGGAAAGACAGCACAAUAUGAGAAACACCGUUUUACCAUAGAAUUGGAGGGCAAAUCGUUAUAACUCAACAACAAAGGAGCCAAAAGACCUUGCCCAAUCUCUUCUACUUUCCACAUUUCACUCUCUAAAAUUCUUUGCCACUCUUUUACUGUACUUUUAGAGCGCAAGAGAUUCCCUAUUACCUUUGCAGCAAGAGGCAGGCCUUUGCACUUACAUGCAAUUUUUCGCCCGAUUGGUUCUAAUUUUUCACAAUCCUCAAAAGAACGACCGAAAAAUGCUAACUGCUUGAACAAUGACCAGCAUUCCUCUUCAACCAAUUGCUUGAUGGAGAUAAUAUUUGUUGAUCCCAUCAUACGUGCAACUAACUCAUUACGUGUGGUAACCAAAAUUUUACUUCCGUGGAGACCAUUUUUUAGACAACGGAAGAAUGGUUGCCAUUUAUUGUAAUCCCCAUCCCAUACAUCAUCUAAGACAAGAAAAUUUUUUUUUCCUUUAAUUGAACUCUGGAUACGGCUCAUAAGAGAUUGGAAUUCGUUUAAACCAGAAGCUGACUUCCCUAGACCUUCAAUGAUUGCUUUGGCAAUCCUAAUCUGAUCAAAAGUGUCCGAUACACACACCCAUAUAACUUUUUCAAAAUUUCUUUUCACCUCAUCAUUAUUAUAGGCUAGUUGUGCAAGAGUGGUUUUACCUAUACCCCCUAACCCAACCAGUGAAAUGACCUGAAGGCCAUUUUGUUGUUCACUACUUUCACACAACAACUUGCUUAAGAGCUCACUUUUCUCAUCAACCCUACCGCAAACCUCUCCCUCAUCAAUCAAGGACGUGGUUCGCACUCUCUCUGGUUUCUUAACAUUGUUACUCACAUUCUCAACUAAUUUGAAACUAUCUUUUUGUCUGGCAAUAUCAUCUAGCUUUUCACUGAUUUCUCUAAUCUUGACAGCAAUAUCAUGACGAAGACUGAGUUGUUUGAAACCACCAAAGCAGUUUGAGGCAGCAGGAAAGAAGAAACAUACCUUCGUCAAAAAAGUAACAAAAGCACCGUCGUUAUCAUCAUAAUCAUCAUCGCCUCCCUCAUCAAGCUGCAAUUUCCGUGUUUCAGUGAUCCACUCUUCCAACAC